rnacentral:lncRNA from 1 species
CAAAUGGAAACUCGUACUACGCUGAAGCACCGGCCUCCUCCUCCUCCUCUUUCCUUUUGCGAGCCCACUUGGGGCUGACCUCGAUGAGCCGGUGCGGCAUGAGCUGCUUCUCCUUCCGGGUGAGCUUCUUGUAGUUCAUGACCCUGAGUUUCGCAAUCUUGGCUUCCUCCUCGGCUGUGGCUUCUCUGACCACCACCGUCAGCCUGCACCUAGGUCUCUCCCUCACACCACACCUCCCUUUGGCGUGGUAAGACAGCCUCUUGAGAUAAAGUCCCUUUCCCACAAAAGCCUCUUCUGCAGUGUCGUCGAGGAGGAGGGUCAAUGUUUUGGCAGCCCUUUUAACCGUCACUUGCAACUGUAAAAGGGCAUCUUCCACGCGCAUUCCUCGAACCAGCUUAGCUACCAGAUUCACUUUCUUGGGGCUCUAAAUCCAGCAGAAGAUUAAGACCAGUUUGAGAAAUAAAUAGCUCUUGAUGGUACUAGCAAUACAUUAUGAACAGCACUCCAGUUCAUGAAGUUUGUUGGGCAGCCUUAUAACCUCUCUAUGUACUCCGUGCUCGUUAAUAUACAUCAUGAAGUUUGUUGGGCAGCCCUGGUCUCUCUACGUGCCCGUUAUUACAUUCCACUUCAGGUGAAGUGGGAUAAACAAAUGUUAUCCAUAAAUUCAGUGAUGAAUAAAAGCUACAAGCACAUUCCAAGUUGAAAUUAUGAAACAAGUGCAUCUUCUGCAAAGAGCAGACAUGUAUACAUUCAUCGAUUACUACUUUCAUCAUUACUAACAGCGUGCUUUGCUAUGUAACCGCUGCAAUUCUCAGGAGCACAUAUGUAGCAAUCGCAGACGAUAUCAAUAAAAAAAGAAAAGCUUAAUGCGCCUAUCACCUGAUCUUUGCCAUACCGGUUUGUUGUUUGGACUUUGUACAUACCAACCAUGCAAAAGCUUUCAGUAAGUUUCAUGGGAAUGACAUGUAUUUGACUAAACUACAUGUUGAAGGGAAGCUUUCAGGAAACUGCAUACUUGACAUGGCUGUCACAGGGCUGCACAACACAUGUCCUUACUCAAGCAUUUUAGCAUAUCUCUGAGAAUCUCAUGGACCCUCAUGGCAAACUCUGUUUACUCGGCCACUUCAGCCUACGCCGCCCAAUUCUAUGGUCUGAUUGAAAACCCGCAGCUGCGAAGAGCUUGGGAUGUCAAAGCAGAGGGCAAGCUCAAGUUCUUCCCUUGGUUAAUUCUGCAGAACCGAGUCUGGACCGCUGACCGCCUUGCCGCGCGCGGUUGGCCUCAUGAUGACAUUUGCUCGCUAUGUGACCAGGAGAUGGAGUCCGUCAAUCACCUGCUGCUCCAGUGCCCGUUUGCCAAGGAGGUUUGGUUUUCCUUCAACACCUCGCAUCCUUUCAGCUCGGACUUAGCUCUUCGCUGUACCUCUAUCUCUGGUUGGUGGAAAAGAAUCUCCACUCUCCAGAGAUAUCAAGAAGAAAGAAGCCCGUGCGAUGAUCUCCAUGGCAGUGUACACGGUCUGGCCUUUAUGGAAGGAGAGGAACAGGAGGAUCUUCGAGGGACAAAAGGCUAAUGCUGAAACUGUAGUGUCUUUCAUCCGAGACGAUCUGCACUUUGCAGGUCCAUCUCUUUGCGAGUAGUCCCUUGUUUUUCUCUCGAGUUUUUUUUCUUUUUUUAAUUUCUUUCCUCCUGUUUCUGGACUUCCAGACAUUGUACAGCUAUUUCCCCCCUUGCUUAAAUGAAAAAGGCGGAGCUCCUGCAGUUGACCGUGAAAAUAGUAAGCCUCUUUUUUUUUUGCGGGGUUAAAAGGAUUUCAUAGCUCAACUGUUGGAAUAUCCGUUCCUACAUAGCAGAGGAACUUCUGCAGGUCCAGAGCGCAACCAAACUGCAGUUCGGCCCUCCGAUCGUUCGAAAGCAGCAAGGGUAUGGCUAACAACGUUCUGGUUCCUACUUACAUGAUCAAUAGAGAUAUCCCUUUCACCAAAGAGCCUCUUAAUAUCCUGAACUAACAUUCUAUGUGGCGAUCUGUCAAGGGUAGGCGACUUGAUCAACUUGACCGCAUCCAUGCAGUCCAUCUCGAUGUCUACCGGGCGAGUAGACCAUUGUAGAGCAAGGCUUAAUCCCUCCUGGCACGCCAAUAGCUCAGACUGGAGCGGUCCGGAACAAUGCAAGAUGGAACGACAAGCGGAGAAGAUAAUGUUGCCGUCAUUAUCACAUAGGAUCAUACCAGCUCUUGCUAAUCCACCGUCUGUAUCAACGAAUGACCCGUCAACAUUCAACUUCACGCGACCGGCCGGCGGGGCAGACCACUGGGCCGUGGCUGCAUGCUGUGUGGGUAUAUUUAUUAUUGUAGAACUAUACCCAAUCGGCGGCAGUACCAUCUUCCCUUUGAUGAUGUCAGUGGUUGAAAAAUAAUUGAUGCAUCGAAGAGAUUCAGCAUAGCUAAUCAGAAAAUAAUUGUUUUUGUUUUGGAGGGGAAUAGACCUGAUAAUCUAAGAUAAACUUUUAUUUGUAUUGCUUUGGAUGAGAAGGGAUGAUAUAAGACAAAGUAAGCAGGGGAAAUGAGUGACAGAGCAAAAUAUGGGCCUUAGAAAAUGAAGAAACCUGGUGGGUUUUCUUUUAAUUAUUAGUGAAGAAGGCAAGAAGCAUAAUCAAAAUUUAUUAGGGAGCAACUAAUUAACGAGCGCUCCUUUGGGAGCCUCGCAACGAUCAGCGCCACUUGGCGCGCUCUCAGCCAUUCGCCACGUGUCGCGCUCUGAACGCUCCCUCCGGGUUUUUUUUUUGCACGCGUUUUCGGCUUUUUAAAUGGUUUUUUUUACGUUUUGGUUUCCCCCGGUCUUUCUUAGCUUUUCGAUUAAAAAAAUUCAAAAAAAAUUGGGGGCUGACUCUUUCUGGGCUUUUUUGUCGUUGCGCUGUGGCCGUUUGCUCGCGUGUGGGCUUUGCUGGGGUCCACUUGGCGUUCCGGUAUGCAGUUAAGCUAGCUAAGCCAAGCAGUCCAUCAUCAACUAGUCAAUGGCGCGAACCAAGUGGUCAGCUUGGUAAGCUAUCAACAAAAAAUUACAAUCACCAACUAGUCAAUGGCGCAGAUAGCCGUGCCUUCAUCGGCCGUCGCAGCGAUGGCAGCCGCAGCUGUACUGAUCACGGCGCUGAUCUCCGCCGCGGAGCCGAAGCACCGGCGCUGGCUGGGAGACCCGGCUGCGACACUUGGUGCGGGGACGUAACUAUGCCAUUCCCGUUUGGUUUCGGCCGGCCCGGGUGCUCCGCGGGACCAGGUUUCAACCUCACCUGCGAUAACACCACCUGUCCUGGCCGGCCCCGGCUGCUCCUCGGCGAGCGCGGCAUAUUCGAGGUCAGUGACAUCUUCCCGGAAGAACGGUGGGUGAGCGUGCUGAGACCCCCUAUCUUUGGGGACGCCGCCGGGAAGAACAUCAGCACCUCCGGCGCCGUCAUGAGAGGGUCGUGGGGCGGCGGGGGCCUUUUUCAAGAUUUAUAAAGCUGAAGUGGAAAACCAACUUGAUCAAAAAAUCAAGAGGCUUAGUUCCGACCGUGGUGGAGAGUAUUUUUCCAAUGAAUCUGAUGCUUUUUGUGCGGAACAUGGUAUAAUCCAUGAGAGGAUGCCUCCCCAUUCACCUCAGUCAAAUGGGAUGGCCGAAAGGAAGAACCGUACUCUAACUGAUUUGGUUAACGCCAUGUUAGACACAUCGGGUCUCUCCAAGGCAUGGUGGGGGGAGGCGAUAUUGACUGCAUGUCAUGGUAACAUUUUUAAAAUAAAUGCCGUACAUUUUAAUUGGCAAUAAUCAUUUCUUAAACUGCACGAAGAUUUUUAAAAUGGUAAUACUUUUUUGUGAAAAUUUCACAGGCAUUUUUUGGAACACACAUGAAUAUUUUCUUAAAAUGUCACGAAAUGUUUUUAAAUGGAAAUCAACAUUUUUAUCCGAAGUGAUAUUUGAGUAUCAUCUUAUAUUAUGGGACGGAGGGAGUAACAUUUUUUAUAACAUUAUGAAUAUUUUGUUGAAACACGGGAAUAUUUCCAUCAGAGUUGAAGUAAAUUCUUUCAGUAGCAAGAAACAAUUUUUUUGGCAUUGCAUACAUAUUUUUUAAAAACAAGCGACCGACAAAAUAUUUGGCCAAGGGAAAUGGAGAAGCCCAACCGCUCUGUUGUGGACGAAUAGGCCGAAUAGGUCGCAACAAAUUGACAAAGCCCAACUGGAUAGAACCGGGCCCAACAGAAAAAAUCACCAAAAACCUAUCAGAGCCAGGUUUCGAUCGUGGGACCUGUGGGUUAUGGGCCCACCACGCUUCCACUGCGCCACUCUGAUUUGCUUUUUUUUUUGGUGUGAAUUCCCUUAUAUAUACAAGUAGCUGCCGUCAAUGGACUACAAAACAUUAUUAUGCACAUUAGCCAGCAAUAAAAGUCCAUGUGUACCAUCUACUUCAACUCCCAUUAAAAAAUUUCUCAAAAAAAACUCCAAUUAAAAAACUGAAUGAACAUCUUAGAAAUUCCAGUGAAAUUUAGAAAAAUCAGGAUUAUCUUUGAAAGGCAAUGGGAAAUAUGAUAAGUUUUUUUUUGAGGGAAGAGAAUAUGACAUUUUUCUUUGCUUGCUGCAUAUCUCACUCAAUCCCUUGCUUUCGAGAAUAGCAUUUCCCUAGCGCUAGUUGUGGGUCAGAGUUGACAGAUCAGAAGUUGGAAACAUAUACUCCUAUAAUAAAAAAUGAUUUUGAGUCCGAUGUGUUUUUCUAGAAUAAAUCUUGGACUAACAAACAAGCAUCAUUAAAAUUUCGUACAAAUGUAUGUUUUUCUUACACACAUUUUCCUUGUUUUCCCUUACUUUCCAAGUCGUCUUGAUUGGGCUCCUAGGUGUGCAAAACUGUGGCCACAUCAUUGUCAAAGCUGCUUUUGUUCCUGCAAACCUAGAUGGUUUUGACAAUAUAUGGUACUCCCGCCGUUCCAAAAUAAGUAUCAUGGUUUUAGUUUAAAUUUAAGCUAGAACCACGGCAACUAUUUUAGAAAGGAGGGAGUAUUAGGUCUGGCAGGCUGGACUUAAAUUUUAAAUUAAAUAAUCUAAUAGGUACUCCAUUUUAUUCAACACACAACUAAUGAGGUUGCAUUUUCUCAACAAGGAAAAUUAAUCAAGUUGCAAGAAAUGCAUUUUAUCCGAUCCAGAAUUUGAGCGAAUAUCUAACCACUUAUUAACACCAUUCAUAACAACUUUUCAAAAAAUAACACACCCACAUUCUAAACACCCUUAAAUAGCAACUUCUGAGGGGAGGCGGCAACUGUUAGUAUCAAAAAUUCAAAAUGUGGUUUACCUCACCACUAGCGUUGCCGAGACAAAAAGGACCAGCAUUUCUACUGCUCCGCAAAUUCAAGGAACACACCGAUGGCAUGUAUAAGAAGAGACAUGCCCAACAGCACAUCAGAGGUCAACUUAUUCAUUGUUAACUAGAGCAAAUGUCUUGAAAGAUUUCGUAUGGACGACACAAGCAGAACAGAGGCUGGUCAGGCAAACGAGACCACAAAUUCUUCCACUGGAGCUCCACGCCGCGGCUGUUCUUCAGUAGGCCUAGACGACUGCAGAUGCAGCUACUACUCUCUGGCUCCAGGCCGGCCAAGAAAGACGGACCCUGCUGCAAACAAAAACUUGUCCUACGCUGAAGCAUGUACUGUCUAUACUGUCUGCUCUACAUAUGUUUAGUUACGGCUUAUAUAUGAACAUGUUGUUUACCUUCUCUUUGUCGAAUCGCAUGACUUAUGUUAUUACUGCUAUACUAGCCAUGCUUUAUCUAGUAUUUCUGUUAAUAAAUUCAUUCAGUAAAUUGCUCAUAUUUCCAACAUGGUCUUCCAAGUAGAUAAGGAUGGAAGUUGGUGGGCCCCAUGAGAACGUGGUUGUGCUUCCAGGCCAACUAAUGUGAGACCGCAUGCGAGCAAGCGCACGACUGCAGAUGCAGCUACUACUCUCUGGCUCCAGGCCGGCCAAGAAAGACGGACCCUGCAGCAAAUGGAAACUCGUACUACGCUGAAGCACCGGCCUCCUCCUCCUCCUCUUUCCUUUUGCGAGCCCACUUGGGGCUGACCUCGAUGAGCCGGUGCGGCAUGAGCUGCUUCUCCUUCCGGGUGAGCUUCUUGUAGUUCAUGACCCUGAGUUUCGCAAUCUUGGCUUCCUCCUCGGCUGUGGCUUCUCUGACCACCACCGUCAGCCUGCACCUAGGUCUCUCCCUCACACCACACCUCCCUUUGGCGUGGUAAGACAGCCUCUUGAGAUAAAGUCCCUUUCCCACAAAAGCCUCUUCUGCAGUGUCGUCGAGGAGGAGGGUCAAUGUUUUGGCAGCCCUUUUAACCGUCACUUGCAACUGUAAAAGGGCAUCUUCCACGCGCAUUCCUCGAACCAGCUUAGCUACCAGAUUCACUUUCUUGGGGCUCUAAAUCCAGCAGAAGAUUAAGACCAGUUUGAGAAAUAAAUAGCUCUUGAUGGUACUAGCAAUACAUUAUGAACAGCACUCCAGUUCAUGAAGUUUGUUGGGCAGCCUUAUAACCUCUCUAUGUACUCCGUGCUCGUUAAUAUACAUCAUGAAGUUUGUUGGGCAGCCCUGGUCUCUCUACGUGCCCGUUAUUACAUUCCACUUCAGGUGAAGUGGGAUAAACAAAUGUUAUCCAUAAAUUCAGUGAUGAAUAAAAGCUACAAGCACAUUCCAAGUUGAAAUUAUGAAACAAGUGCAUCUUCUGCAAAGAGCAGACAUGUAUACAUUCAUCGAUUACUACUUUCAUCAUUACUAACAGCGUGCUUUGCUAUGUAACCGCUGCAAUUCUCAGGAGCACAUAUGUAGCAAUCGCAGACGAUAUCAAUAAAAAAAGAAAAGCUUAAUGCGCCUAUCACCUGAUCUUUGCCAUACCGGUUUGUUGUUUGGACUUUGUACAUACCAACCAUGCAAAAGCUUUCAGUAAGUUUCAUGGGAAUGACAUGUAUUUGACUAAACUACAUGUUGAAGGGAAGCUUUCAGGAAACUGCAUACUUGACAUGGCUGUCACAGGGCUGCACAACACAUGUCCUUACUCAAGCAUUUUAGCAUAUCUCUGAGAAUCUCAUGGACCCUCAUGGCAAACUCUGUUUACUCGGCCACUUCAGCCUACGCCGCCCAAUUCUAUGGUCUGAUUGAAAACCCGCAGCUGCGAAGAGCUUGGGAUGUCAAAGCAGAGGGCAAGCUCAAGUUCUUCCCUUGGUUAAUUCUGCAGAACCGAGUCUGGACCGCUGACCGCCUUGCCGCGCGCGGUUGGCCUCAUGAUGACAUUUGCUCGCUAUGUGACCAGGAGAUGGAGUCCGUCAAUCACCUGCUGCUCCAGUGCCCGUUUGCCAAGGAGGUUUGGUUUUCCUUCAACACCUCGCAUCCUUUCAGCUCGGACUUAGCUCUUCGCUGUACCUCUAUCUCUGGUUGGUGGAAAAGAAUCUCCACUCUCCAGAGAUAUCAAGAAGAAAGAAGCCCGUGCGAUGAUCUCCAUGGCAGUGUACACGGUCUGGCCUUUAUGGAAGGAGAGGAACAGGAGGAUCUUCGAGGGACAAAAGGCUAAUGCUGAAACUGUAGUGUCUUUCAUCCGAGACGAUCUGCACUUUGCAGGUCCAUCUCUUUGCGAGUAGUCCCUUGUUUUUCUCUCGAGUUUUUUUUCUUUUUUUAAUUUCUUUCCUCCUGUUUCUGGACUUCCAGACAUUGUACAGCUAUUUCCCCCCUUGCUUAAAUGAAAAAGGCGGAGCUCCUGCAGUUGACCGUGAAAAUAGUAAGCCUCUUUUUUUUUUGCGGGGUUAAAAGGAUUUCAUAGCUCAACUGUUGGAAUAUCCGUUCCUACAUAGCAGAGGAACUUCUGCAGGUCCAGAGCGCAACCAAACUGCAGUUCGGCCCUCCGAUCGUUCGAAAGCAGCAAGGGUAUGGCUAACAACGUUCUGGUUCCUACUUACAUGAUCAAUAGAGAUAUCCCUUUCACCAAAGAGCCUCUUAAUAUCCUGAACUAACAUUCUAUGUGGCGAUCUGUCAAGGGUAGGCGACUUGAUCAACUUGACCGCAUCCAUGCAGUCCAUCUCGAUGUCUACCGGGCGAGUAGACCAUUGUAGAGCAAGGCUUAAUCCCUCCUGGCACGCCAAUAGCUCAGACUGGAGCGGUCCGGAACAAUGCAAGAUGGAACGACAAGCGGAGAAGAUAAUGUUGCCGUCAUUAUCACAUAGGAUCAUACCAGCUCUUGCUAAUCCACCGUCUGUAUCAACGAAUGACCCGUCAACAUUCAACUUCACGCGACCGGCCGGCGGGGCAGACCACUGGGCCGUGGCUGCAUGCUGUGUGGGUAUAUUUAUUAUUGUAGAACUAUACCCAAUCGGCGGCAGUACCAUCUUCCCUUUGAUGAUGUCAGUGGUUGAAAAAUAAUUGAUGCAUCGAAGAGAUUCAGCAUAGCUAAUCAGAAAAUAAUUGUUUUUGUUUUGGAGGGGAAUAGACCUGAUAAUCUAAGAUAAACUUUUAUUUGUAUUGCUUUGGAUGAGAAGGGAUGAUAUAAGACAAAGUAAGCAGGGGAAAUGAGUGACAGAGCAAAAUAUGGGCCUUAGAAAAUGAAGAAACCUGGUGGGUUUUCUUUUAAUUAUUAGUGAAGAAGGCAAGAAGCAUAAUCAAAAUUUAUUAGGGAGCAACUAAUUAACGAGCGCUCCUUUGGGAGCCUCGCAACGAUCAGCGCCACUUGGCGCGCUCUCAGCCAUUCGCCACGUGUCGCGCUCUGAACGCUCCCUCCGGGUUUUUUUUUUGCACGCGUUUUCGGCUUUUUAAAUGGUUUUUUUUACGUUUUGGUUUCCCCCGGUCUUUCUUAGCUUUUCGAUUAAAAAAAUUCAAAAAAAAUUGGGGGCUGACUCUUUCUGGGCUUUUUUGUCGUUGCGCUGUGGCCGUUUGCUCGCGUGUGGGCUUUGCUGGGGUCCACUUGGCGUUCCGGUAUGCAGUUAAGCUAGCUAAGCCAAGCAGUCCAUCAUCAACUAGUCAAUGGCGCGAACCAAGUGGUCAGCUUGGUAAGCUAUCAACAAAAAAUUACAAUCACCAACUAGUCAAUGGCGCAGAUAGCCGUGCCUUCAUCGGCCGUCGCAGCGAUGGCAGCCGCAGCUGUACUGAUCACGGCGCUGAUCUCCGCCGCGGAGCCGAAGCACCGGCGCUGGCUGGGAGACCCGGCUGCGACACUUGGUGCGGGGACGUAACUAUGCCAUUCCCGUUUGGUUUCGGCCGGCCCGGGUGCUCCGCGGGACCAGGUUUCAACCUCACCUGCGAUAACACCACCUGUCCUGGCCGGCCCCGGCUGCUCCUCGGCGAGCGCGGCAUAUUCGAGGUCAGUGACAUCUUCCCGGAAGAACGGUGGGUGAGCGUGCUGAGACCCCCUAUCUUUGGGGACGCCGCCGGGAAGAACAUCAGCACCUCCGGCGCCGUCAUGAGAGGGUCGUGGGGCGGCGGGGGCCUCCGCGACGACCUCGGCCAGUACUCCAUGGCCAUUCUGCCUGUGCCCGGCGCCGCGUCCCCAAACCUGCUGCCCUGCUGGUGGUCACGGGGUGCAACGUCCAGGCGACGCUGCUCACGAGAGCGCGUGGCAAGGAUCUCCAAGGUGUGGGAGGCCGCCGGCGCCGAGCCGCACGUCCGGCUGCGGCGAUGCGUCAGCUGCAGCAAUUGAUCACCUACAGCAAUUGAUACGGAGAAACUCUCAUGUUAAACAUCAAUGGUCAGCCUGACAGCCGCGCAACGGCCGCCUGCGCCUGAAGAGAAAUGAACCGGGCCGUUUCGACUCAGCAUACACCUUCUCAUGGUGAACAAGAAGGAACUCCCUGGAAAGCAUCUCAUCACGGGGAUUGAGCAAGAACCUGGCUCGCUGCGCUGCAGGGAAGGAGAGCAUCGCCUCUUGCCGUCGGCCCCGGCUCCCAAGCCCCAAGUCCAAGUCGCACGCACACCCCGCUCGCGGACGGAUGACUGUCUCUUGUAUAUAUAGAAAAAUGGUGGCAAGUUGAAGAGAACAAGGAGUUCGUGGUUCAUGAUGAGAGGGAAGGUCGUGCCGCGGAUCGGUGAGGUGGCGCAAUCCAUACCCUCCCUCGCCAGCUGAUGCCAUCCCUAGGCGCGUAUUCUUUCAUUUAUAGGGAAGGGAAUUAAUGGCCCAUGGGUAUUUAUUCUCAAUUCUCUCUGGCACUCUGACUGGCUCACAUGCACCAGUCUAAUUGCAUGUUCAUGAUAUUUAUUCUCUCACCCCUUUCGUUUACCUCGUCCAGUCCAAUGGGCAGCACUGGUGGGUGGGUUCUUUUCUUCUUCACUUGUUGGACCCUGGAAAUUUAAUUCUACGAGGGGGGCUCAGAUUCACAUAGGAAAUAAUUUUCUUGCACGGUGAAACAAAUGCCUGGACAAGACUUUCUUGUUGAGAACAUCAAAACUUUUAUUUAUUUAUUUGCAUCCGAGAACAUCAAAACCUUUCCUAGUCAAAUAUAUGCAUGCAUACAUACAAAUUCUAAAAACGAAGAUACAAGAUAGUUUUUCUUUCUUUGUCUUNNNNNNNNNNNNNNNNNNNNNNNNNNNNNNNNNNNNNNNNNNNNNNNNNNNNNNNNNNNNNNNNNNNNNNNNNNNNNNNNNNNNNNNNNNNNNNNNNNNNNNNNNNNNNNNNNNNNNNNNNNNNNNNNNNNNNNNNNNNNNNNNNNNNNNNNNNNNNNNNNNNNNNNNNNNNNNNNNNNNNNNNNNNNNNNNNNNNNNNNNNNNNNNNNNNNNNNNNNNNNNNNNNNNNNNNNNNNNNNNNNNNNNNNNNNNNNNNNNNNNNNNNNNNUUUCUUUCUUUGGCCUCCAUGAUCUAUCUAUCUAUCAGUGAAUGGCACAUUCACAAGCACAAUAAAUUGCCAAAAUCACAUACAAAUAAAGAAACAAACAUGACUAAUAAUUCAUGAUCCACACGAUAUACUUGUUAUUCAGCUCAGCUUGAAAUGAGGCUCGGCUUGAAAUCUGACAUUUCAUUUCAGAGAUUCAUUAAAAUAAAUAAACAUGGAGAAAUUUACAGUGGCAUGUUUCAAAUAUCACUCUCGCAUUGCCCAGCCAAAACAUACACAAGAGUUGGGAAACUGACAUCAUUUUUCGACACGCCUACAAACAAAACGAAGACAUUUUAUCUACACAACAACAUCUAUCACAAGAAGGAAUUCGUAAUUCACUGGACAAAAGAUUCCAAAUCAAACACUUCCAGCAAGCUGGCCUUUCACCACAACUCCGAAAACAAGAAUCUAUCUAACCAGGCUGACAAACCACCUAGUCGCACCAUCUCCAUCUCUUCUCUUCUUCGGAAAGGAAGCAACAUCUUCUUGAUUUGACUGCCACUCCUACAAAGGAUAGGAACAGACAACACACACUUAUGUUGCAUACAAAACAGGAGCAACCCAAUUCCGACCACAUCCAGCAGUGCUACAAAACAGGAGUAACCUGUUAUGCAGUUUUCAAACCCCAGAAACUACAGGGAAUUAGGAAUCACAUAGGCCAAUCCACAAAAAUGAGAAAGUUUUAGGAUAGGUUCAAAAUUGAAGACUGCAUUUGGAUCAUAAAAUGAUCACACUAGCAAAAUAGACUGGAUGAUCAGAGAAGGAAUAUCGCUUCUUUGUAUGGGGCAUUAAACCAAAAUCACCAUCUUCCCACCCUUGUACUGCAUCACCUUCUUUAAAGAUGGCCAGAAAAUUGUAUGAAAUCUUGUACUGUUUUUCAAACGACCUAUGGCAUGACUUUAUAGACAGAAAACUGUAUGAAAUCUUAUUGGUUCGAGUUGUAAUUAACCAAAUACAGGAGCAUGUAGAUGCAAUUGGCAAUUUUAUAAAGCCACCGACACUUGUUUGAGCAACAACCUAUAAGUUGGAAACCGGUAAGAUCAAAACUGAGUCAACUGAGUAUUUCAAAGCAAUGAUAACAAAACAAUGUCAUUUAAUAGUUUAAUAGAAUGCGGCUCGAACCCGUCAAUCUAACAUCAAGGACCACGUGCGCUUGCUAAUUGACCCCAUGGGGUUGUUGUCGUAGCCCUGAGCAUCAGCUAUCGACGCUCCAAAAGAGGCCGCAGCUGGCACCCCUGGGUUGGCGGCGCAGAGGCCGCAGCCGGGGGCGCCACCACCGCUCCUGUGCCUCCUGCGCGUGAGAACAUUCUUAUACUUGUUGAUAUUCUGGAUCACAUCCUGCACCGACUGCACCUUCUCCCUGGCAGAGGCGAGCUGAUCAACCAUCUAGCAACGGCGCAGGUAUAGGAGACAGGCACCAGUACAUGCACUACGGUGGGUUAGGGGCAUGUACCUGGCCUUGCCGGAGAACUAGGUGACGCUAUCAUGGACCCGCCGGAGGAGGCUCCCCCACGAGGGCUAACAAGCCCAAGCACCAUAGCUAGGUGUAGAUCGGCUGCUGAAGGUGUGGAUCUGGUGCCAUCGUUGCUGGAACAGGUGUGGGGGUAGGACAGUGGCUGCCGUGUCCAUGGUCGGUCUACUCCUGUUGUCCCCCGGCAACCUACACGCACAUACAUGCAGCAGCACCAAGAAUAAAGAUCCAAUGUUUAUCUGCACCAAAAUAUGCGGGUAGAGCAUUAUAUUCUGUAUUCAUGUCAGUACAUCAAAUGUAGUUUUUAAAAGUGACAUUCCAUUGGCUGUGACCUUGGCAAAUGGUAUGAAUUUUCAUUCCAAAAAUACAACCCAAAGUUGCAGGGAUGCACAUUAAACAAUUAAAAUAGAAUACAAUUCAUCUUGACCAACACCCACCGUGUAGGGAGGACCAGAAUAUUGGUUUUCGUGAAUUCAUUGAAUCUUGAAUGCAUCACAUGCUUCCUGCUGAAGAGAGAAGCAAGUUGUUAUUUUUUGGCCUUUUGUAAUGAAACAUCUAAUUAUCGAUCUCAGAAAUGAUAAUGAUGAUUAUCUCCUGUUCAUAUGAACAUAUGUAACACUUAAUACGCUGAAUCAAAACUUGAAUCUGCCUUUAGACAAAAAGGCGUGUGAGCAUGCCAUUCAGUUUGACUGCUUAAUAUGUUCCAUUACUGUGAGACGGCGAAACCCCGCAUAAGGGGCCAUACGAAGAGACAUAUAUAUCAGUUCAACGAGCUCGAGUUAACUAACUGAAAUUAGAAAAAUCUUAACUUUUUAAACUGUGCAUACAAUGAAACGAAAAAUAAAGACAGAGAUGGAGAAGCUUGCUAGCCUUAUGCCAAGACUGAUGCAAGUUGUAGUUACUAGUGAAAGUCCUCAGUUCUUGGCACCACUAAAUAUAGAGUUUUAUUCUAUUGACUCAUCAAACAAAUAUAGACAGUUAGCAAUAGCUCUGAUGAGAUUGCACGCUGCAUCUUUUUAAUUGAAACGGCACAAAAGAGGCUUACUAUUAUAACAUAUUAAAAGAAUAGUUGCAUGCUUAGACCGCCAGUUUGUUUCUUAUUACAGAUGAAUUUCCAAUUUACAAGAUGCAUUGUGUGUUAUCUUUCAGAAUCGUUACACACGUAGUUGGCCUUUUUUCAGAGGUUUUCAUGAUAAUGUGAAAAGGUUAAACGAAAAAAAUCCGUAUUUCAGUCCCCCUGCCGUAGCCAAUGGGUGUGUCCCCUUUGUAUCGCUGUCUAUUCUAAGUGUUCCUGCACCAGCACAUAAAAAUGCAGCUGCAAGACAUGUGAGACAGACGACCAUAUGAUUGAGUGAUGAUGUCUUUCUAAUAUCGUCUGUACUUUUUUUUCUAAUAUCUGUCUAAGCGGGCCUGCCUAAUCAAGAGUCAUGAUGUCUUUUGUUGCAUGAUUGAGAUUAUAUGCAUGCAGCAUCUUUUAGACUGGAAAGGGCCCUACUAACAGAAGAGUUGCAAUGCAUGUGAAGCAGCACCACUUUUCCUCCACAUUGCUAAUUUGGUGCAAAUUCAGUACAGACACAUACUAUAUGUCUACAUUCUACACAACAGCACAGUACAGAAUCACAGAUAUAGACCAUAGCAUCUCUCAUCCCUUCCAUGUAAGCAACAACUCAAUUUAGUGCAACCAAGAAAUUUAGUGCAAUCACUAGAAAAAUGAUGAACCAUGCCUACAUCCUGGGGUUUUCGCGUCAAUGUUUGACCCAAGUAACGGCUACAUCCUUUACACCAGGACGCAAGUAACCAUGUGGAGGAGAAACAUUUCUUAAUGAACAAGUUGAACGGGGCAAACGUUACUGACAUACAGGUAGGAAAAAAAUUGUAUCCCCCGAAGUGUAAGCUUAAAAUUGCUACAAACGUUACAAGACUUCUUAAUGAAACCUCUAAUUAUUGAUCUCAGAAAUGAUCAUGAUGAUUAUCUCCUGUUCAUAUGGACCUAUGUAACACUUAAUAUGCUGAACGAAAACAUGACAAUCAUCCUUUAGUUGAUGGUGACAGAAAGGCGUGUGAGUAUGCCAUCAAAUUUGAUAGUAGCUUAAUAUAUUUCAUUUACUACAAGCCGGUGAGACCCCACAUAAGGGGCCAUACGAAAAAAUUAUAUCAGCUCAACGAGCUCGAGUUAAUUAACUAACUAAAAUCAGAAGAUAAAAACUAACAUUUUAACUGCACAUAUAGUGAAACGAAAAAUAAAGGUAGAAAUGGAGAAGAAUGCUAACCCUAUGCCGAGACUGAUGCAGGUUGUAGUUACUAGUUCAAGUCCUCAGUUCUUGGCACCACUACGCAUAGAGUUUUAAUCUGUUGGCACAUCAAACACAGUUAGCAAUAGCUCUGGUGAGAUUACAAGCUGCGUCUUUUUUAUUGAAACGGCACAGAAGAGGCCUACUAGUAUAAUAAUGUAUUAUACGGAAGAGUUGCAUAGCUAAACUGCUAGUUGUUUCUUAUUAGGGAUGAAUUUCUUGUUUACAAGAUGGACCACGUGGUAUCAUUCAGAAUCAUUCCACGUGUAGUUGGCCUUUUUUUCAGAGGUUUACAAGAUACAACCUGCAUGUAACAAACAUCAUCACAAAAGUUUAGACUUUAAUGGCAACAGACCGACUAUUAUGACUUUAUUAAACUAUCUUAAAAGUAGGUGUCAAAUAUCUAAACCAUCUUAAAAUGGCUAGAUUCAGAGCACACUAUUAUUAGUUUGAACUGAAUUUGUGCAAAGUAAUAAAAACACGUCUGUUCGAAGUAUGUGCAGCCACGCCAAAGUAAUAUAACAAUGUAUGCCUCUUUUUAUUUUGAGGGGAAUACACCGGAUGAUUAGGUCAACCUUUUUAUAAUAUACUCCAGUGAUCUAAAAGGUCUUAUAUUUAUAUUUGUUUACUGGGGGAGUAUAUUUUUCAGUACAAGAUGCUAUAAGACAAACUAAGCAGGAAAAACGAAGAAACCUGGUUUUCUUGUCAGUUAUGGGCCCACCACGCUUCCGCUGCGCCACUCUGAUUUUCUUGUCAGUUUUUGGUGUGAGUCUCCUAUAUAUACAAGUAGCUUACAUGGACGACGACGGUCACUCUUAUGCUGGUUUUGUCCUACUUUAAUGAACUGUCCACUACCAUGGCCAAGGUAUUGAAUUUGAACAACAAAGGUUGGACUUCCACGCCGACGGCGACGAGGACAUUGCGCGUCAGCGACACGAGUAACGGGGCCGUCGGCCCGUCCAUCUUGAACGCCAACGUCAUAAACGUAAUCCUCCAGAUCCCGUCGGUGGCAUUGGUGUUGCAGAAGGACGCUACGUUGCCGUAUGCCCGUGCCUCGCUCUCAGCGAUGGAAAUGCCGAUGAGCUCCACCGGAAAUACAUCUGAGUCGUUACCGGAGACCGUCACCUGGGCAGCUCCUCCGGAACGGAGAGGGAGGAAGGCGCGAGGGGGGUUGAAGGAGUCGUUGCAGGUGACCUCGAACCCCUUAUCCCGGAAGCAGCCGGGCUUCAUGCCGAACGGGAAGGGAAUGCUGACGUUGCCGCACUUGUCCGGGCAAGUGUGACCGGCAAGUGUGACCGGCAGCUCAUGAUUUUCAGCAAUGGUUGGCUGGACCAAGAGCGUCGACGCUGCAACGAGAACUUGGAGUAGAACCGGGAGCAGCUGGAAAUGGAGCUGCGAGAGCGUGGCCAUGGUGCUGUUUUGCUGCUCUGUGGAUGCAAUAGCUUUAUAGUUUAUAUAGAGCAUCCACACGGUUGCUUGUAAAUUACACCUUGCCCUACAUAUUUAUGCAUGCAUUUCACAAUACCCCAGGGUUCAGAAGCUGCAUAUGUUUUAUUUCGCUGCAAUUCUGACUUGAACCCAGUUGAAGUAUUCUCUGUUCCGCAAACGGGGUUGACUUAAAUUUGUUGUAAUAUGGGGGUAAUGUGCAAAAGGACAGCUGUUUGAUGGUCCAAAAAAAAUGUGGUUGUGUUUUCAUAAAGACUGGCGUGGAUUGCACGAUCUAGGAGUUAUCUUCAAAUCCUGGAAACAACUUGGAUGGGUGGCAGGAUGCAAAUAGCAUAAUAUGCCAUUUGCAUAACAGCAUAGUAUGCUUUCCAAAGCAUAGUAUUUAAUAGAACAAGUUGGUGAAAUAGCAAGGUGUUAUCAGUUGAGUACUAAAAUGUUGAUGGGUCUCCGUAAAACAUAUAUAAUAUGAGUGGCACGGGAGCCAUUCUUGGGGAUGUGCAGGGCUUCUUCCUAGCGGCGUCUAGCAACGACCUCCAGUUUGUGGAAGACGCAACAACGACAGAGGCACGAGCUCAGUUUUCCCAAUGCUUUUUGUUCGGUAGUGUAGUCGUAGUUCUGCGUGAUCCGGUUAUCUCGGGAUCGACAUUGUUUGAGGGCUACCUCAUCAUCUUGUAUCGUUUGGCCGUGUAUUUGGUUCGGUGUUUGCUUUAUUUAUAAAGCGGGGCGAAAGCCUGUUUCGGGAAGAUGGCUUGAUUCUGCCAAACUUGGUUGGCUGCAACAAUCUAUAUGUCGAGGCCCACUGAAUUGAAGUGAUCGAUAUAAUAAUGAAUGGGGGAAACUCUAUGGGACCGGCGGCAGCCUUAUACGAAGAAUGCUCUUUUCAAGUGGAAAUUUUUCUUCUAUUACUUUCAAGCAUUGUCCUAGAGAAGCCAAUAUGGUUGCUGAUGCUCUAGCUAGUAGAUCGGAGCAUGACCGAUCCAUUGCAUGGAAUUGGGAACCUCCUGACUUUCUUGCUUAUAUCUUAGCAAACGGUGUAUCUCUCUUUGAGCAUGAGAUAUAAAACACCAUGAUGGCAUUCCCCCAUAAAAACAUAAUAUGAGUGGAUUGCAACAUGCAGGAGUAAAACCCUAAAAUCAAUAAAAGGAGACUUGGGUUGUGUAUAACAUUCACAAGGAAGCUGCGAGCCAUCCUACGGACGUUCCGGGUUGAUCCACUAGAGCCACGACCAAUGCAACCUAAGAGCCCUACCAAACCUGUCAAGAUUCGUGGUGCCUAGGCCCCUGAGGACCUUCNNNNNNNNNNNNNNNNNNNNNNNNNNNNNNNNNNNNNNNNNNNNNNNNNNNNNNNNNNNNNNNNNNNNNNNNNNNNNNNNNNNNNNNNNNNNNNNNNNNNNNNNNNNNNNNNNNNNNNNNNNNNNNNNNNNNNNNNNNNNNNNNNNNNNNNNNNNNNNNNNNNNNNNNNNNNNNNNNNNNNNNNNNNNNNNNNNNNNNNNNNNNNNNNNNNNNNNNNNNNNNNNNNNNNNNNNNNNNNNNNNNNNNNNNNNNNNNNNNNNNNNNNNNNNNNNNNNNNNNNNNNNNNNNNNNNNNNNNNNNNNNNNNNNNNNNNNNNNNNNNNNNNNNNNNNNNNNNNNNNNNNNNNNNNNNNNNNNNNNNNNNNNNNNNNNNNNNNNNNNNNNNNNNNNNNNNNNNNNNNNNNNNNNNNNNNCAAACAAUAUUCCAGUUCACAAGCGAGUACCCACCUCCGACGGUCUCACUAUCCUCUUCAUAUGAAAGGUGCUCGUGGAGGUAAGCAUCGCCUUGGAAACCGUGACUCUUCUGACCCUUAUGACAUUCUUACUCUUCCAACAAAACAAUCUACCACGAAUGUUUUCGAUGAUACGCUGCAAAUGAUGUUCUAAGGUGGCGUGCAUGUAGAGGGAGCACCAGGUAGCUCUGGAAGCUUUUGCUCUUUGCAGUCCUUCCUCGAUUAGCCUGGGAGGCUGUUUGUAAUUUUUCCUCAUGCCAUGAUCAAGUGAAAUUAGCAUCUGCCCCUUGGUGAAGGCAUUCGUGGGUUGCUUCUUAAUGAAAAGUAGUGUGUCGGCGUAGCUACACAGAAAGCUUUGACUCGAUGGGUGGUGGCGACUUCUAGUGUGUCGCCUCAUUCGGGACAUGCCAUACCCUCACAACGUCAUGAGGCGAGGGAGGCACUCCUCUUUGGCAUAAUGGUCAAGGAGAUGUAGAAGCCAUUCGGGUCCCGUAUAGAUUACCCACCUUCGCCAUUUGAUACAUCUCAAACAUCGCCCACCACAGCCCCAUCAACCUGGGACACCUGUAGAGGUUAUGGAAAGUGUACUCACGUUCCAUGGCACAUGUAGUAGUGCACAUGUGAGAUGGUUCCAAGUUCCUUUUAGCUUUAUUAUCCACAGAGUUUCUAGCCAACUUCUGGGCAAACACUCAUCCCUUGAGAGGGACUAGGCAUCCCCACACUGCCUUCCAGAUGGCACCCCCACACAUAGCAGUAAAGGAACGCCAAGGUGGCAGAAGAUGGUGUGAGCUUGUGAAGAAUGAUUUUUAAUUAUUCUUGACACCAUCUUGCCUACCCGAGCCGAUUUGUUUUUUUUGAACUGUUGGUCCUUAGUUGCAUACAUCUUGGUUCUAAUAGAGACCAGGAGAAAACCCCUUGAUUGUAUACCUAACGAAACACCCAAAAUAAUUUUCAUAUGAUGAAGAGCAAACGAGUACAUAGCAAGAUUAUAUCUGAUGAAAGCAUACUGUCCGUAGAAUAAGAAUUUUCUCAAACUAUUAAACAAAGGCAAAAAAAUCAUUUUACCAUCCAAGAUGAAGAUUGUGGCAGCUUUUACCCAAUUUAAAAGAAAUUCAUCAAAACUACCCCAUCUGGCAUAGUUUGUGCCAGUUUUGACUGAUAGCGUGCUCCACCUCUUGGAACUAGCUAAAUGCUUUCACAAAAAAGAAACCCGGGUAAAUGCUAUAUAAUAGAGUAGAACCAUCUUUCUUAAAUGCGGUAGUUCCGAUGAAUUCCUGCUAAAUGGGGUAAAACUAUUCACAAACUACAUCUAGGCCCGGUAUAAAUGUAUGUUAUUUACUCUUAAAAAAUAUGGCUUUUGCAUAUGGUUUCAAAGUUGUCGAGACUAGUUGGCCCCUCACAAUUAUAGCUAGUUGUUUGUUAAGAAUGAAUAACUAAAAAGUUUCUCCAAUGGAAGUACAAUACUCUUCGCAAGGGACAUACCAUAUAUGUGGAAAGCACGACAUGUUGUCCUACAUUUAGAAUUUUAGCGUUAGAUUCCUUAAAAAUAGAAUUCUUCUCGAUAGAUCUAGACCUAUCAAGGAAAGUCAAACCCUGUAUUUUCCUCCAUGAUAAUGAGACAAGUUUUGCUUUAGAUCUUAGGAUCCUGAAAUAUCGAAGGAAAGUCAAACCCAUGUAUUUUACUCCAUGAUAAUGGAAAAUACAGGCUGGACACUCCUCGAGGCACCACAUUGAGUAACAUCAGACAUACCACACGCAUUGCAGCGGGAAUUUGUUGUAGUGUAUUUUAAUAAGAUUUGAUUUAAUUGAAUAUAAAUAUUUGAAUUAUUAAGAUGACAAUCAAAAUUGAAAAUACAUAUAAUUUAUAAUAUUUAGUUAUGUAUAGUAAUAAAAUAAUUAUUACAUACAAAUAGCAUAAUAGUAGUAACAGAACAUAAAUUAUUGAUUUUUUCAUGCAUGAUUGCAUGUUAAGGUAAAAAAUGUUACUAUAAUCCCGAGCACAAAUGAACUCACAUGAACGUAAACAUAAAAGAUAAUAGAAAAAUAUUUUUAAAAUAAAUGUUUUUGCGAAUGAACAUCAACAAGAAGUAUUCUAACAUCCUGAAAAUUUUCUCCACGAAAAGACUGCUAGAAUUUAGUCUAUUUUGGGACAGCCCAAUAACUAUUUCAGAAAUUUCUAAAUAAAUCCUAGAGGGCCACUUAGCCCAUUAGUGCAAGGCAAGGGAUACUACUAAAAGUUUAGUCCCACAUUGCUAGUUUAGUGGGAGUUGGACCUCCUUAUAAGGAAGGUUCUUUCCCCACUUGUAUGAGCAUGAGAACAAGAGGGAUAUCCAUGCGCGCUCCUCCUCCGCCGCCCGCCACGCCACGCCUCGUCACGACGCGCCGCGCCGCGCCGCGGGUUGCGGGAACGAGCCGAUAUCUAAAUUUUUGCCAUGCACUACGGGUAUACGAAAGGUCACUCGGGAGCUGGAAAGUUUUUACUGUAGUGGAUAUUGAAUACGAACGCUGCACCCUUCGGCUGUUGACUGUUCGUUUCGUCUCCCGCGUUCCCUUCAGCUCCCGGCGCAGCCUCUCGCCUCCUUCUCUUGCGCCUAUAAAAGCGAGGUCGCUCCUCUCAAAGAGACGCACCAGAACUACUCCUUCCUCUCGCCACCGGUUCCUGAGCACUGCGCUGCUGCUACGAUCUCCCCAUCCCGGCUUGCGGCGUGCACCGCAGGUCGGGACAGUAGGCCUCCGAAACCACACCUUUUGAGUCAUGUACGGGAGAAGGGUGAUAAGGUUUUUGGGGAGCGCUCUGCGCGACUACUGACUUCUUAGUCACGGAUGCUCCGGACUCCGACGACUACUUCCCUGACGACGACUACUUCCCCAACGUCGACAACCUCCUCGACGACAUGGAGGACACCGACCCCAAGUCCAGUGCCUCUGCUCCUGCUGCUGUCCAAUACGUGUUCUUAUUUUUCCUGUUAGAAGUCCUGCAUCAGUUCUUUGGUCUAGUGUUUGCCUAGACAUGUUAGGCUCUACUUCAUAUAUGCAUCUUGAUUUACUGUCUGCUCUAGAGAUGAUCCGUUCUAGCUCAUAUAUGCAGAUAUUAUUUACCUUCUCUUUGUCAAAUUGCAUGGCUUGUUUUAUCACUGCUAUACUAGUCAUGCUUUAUCUAGUAUUUCUGUUAAUAAAAUCAUUCGGUAAAUUGCUCAUAUUUCCAACAACCCAAAAACCUUAUUAUAGGCAAUUUACCCCAAGUGGUUUUGCUGCUUCCAGGAGACCUCCUAUGUUUGAGGGUAUCCACUAUAAGAGGUGGCUCAUGAGAGCAGUCUUAUGGUUUCAAACCAUGAAUUGCUAUGACGCCACUCUUGGCAAACCUAAAUGAGAGCAAGAUGCCCAACAGGCACAAGCUUUUCAGAAAAUGGAUACCUUGUUUAAGGCUGCUCUCUUGAGUGUUCUUGGUGAGAACAUAGUUGAUGCUUAUGCGUCAAUUGAUAAUGGAAAAGAUAUGUGGGAUGCACUCGAGGCCAAGUUUGGGGUCUCGGAUGCUGGCACUGAGCUGUACAUCAUGGAGCAAUUCUAUGACUAUAGGAUGACUGAAGAGCGCUCCGUGGUUGAGCAAGCUCAUGGGAUACAGUCAUUUGCUAGAGAGCUUGAGCACUUCAAUUGUAUCCUACCGGACACGUUUAUUGCCGGAGGUAUCAUCACUAAGCUUCCUCCCACGUGGAGGAACUUUGCUACCUCACUGAAGCAUAAGAGGCAGGAGUUUUCCGUUUCGGAUCUCAUUGGUACUCUUGAUGUGGAAGAAAAGGCGAGAGCAAAGGACAACCGUGCUUGAUGUAUUGAGGGAGGUUCUAGUGCCAAUCUGGUACAGAAAAAGAACUUCUAGUCCCACAAGUUCAAGAAUAAGGGCAAGCUUGAUGGUAAAGGAAAGUUUGAUGGGAAGAACAAGGCUGUGCAGCACAUGAACUUCAAGAAGAAGAAUGACAAGAAGAAAGGUGUUUGUCAUGUGUGUGGGGAUCCUGAUCAUUGGGCUCCUAGUUGCCCUAAUCGUUAUGACAAGCGUCAUCCUGGGAAAGGCGGCAAGACCGCUAAUGUUGUCAUUGGAGGCACUGACAUGAAGGAUGCUGGGUAUGGUAUAUUUCCCACUAUUCUUUCAGUAUGUCAUUCUCCUGAUUGGUUGAUUGACACGGGUGCUAAUGUGCAUGUAUGCGGUGAUAUUUCCAUGUUUUCGUCUUAUCAGACCGCAGGGACUUCAACCAUGCUGAUGGGCAACGGUUCAAGUGCUUCUGUUCGUGGUGUUGACACAGUCGAUCUGAAGUUUACUUCGGGGAAGAUCGUGCGGCUGAAGAACGUGCAUUAUGUCUCCUCCGUCGAUAAAAAUCUUGUUAGCGGAUCUCUUCUGUGCAGAGAUGGCUACAAGCUUGUCUUUGAGUUGAAUAAAUUUAUAAUUUCCAAGUAUGGAACCUUUGUUGGUAAAGGCUAUGAGUCAGGAGGCCUAUUUCGUUUAUCCUUAUCAGACGUUUGCAAUAAAGUUGUUAAUCAUAUUUGCAACAAUAGUGAAUGAAAUGUGUGGCAUUCACGUCUUUGUCAUGUUAACUUUGGUUGCAUGUCGCGACUAGCGAAAUUGAACUUAACCAUUAGUUUCACCACCGUCAAGGGAUCCAAGUGUCAAGUAUGUGUGCAAGCUAAGCAACCUCGUAAGUCUCAUGUGACUGCGGAAACGAGAAAUCUUGCACCACUAGAACUCAUACAUUCAGAUCUAUGUGAAAUGAAUGGUGUUUUGACAAAAGGUGGAAAGAAAUAUUUCAUGACUUUAAUUGACGACUCCACUAGAUACUGCCGCGUGUAUCUUCUGAAAUCUAAGGAUGAGGCUUUGAACUUUUUCAAGAUUUAUAAAGCUGAAGUGGAAAACCAACUUGAUCAAAAAAUCAAGAGGCUUAGUUCCGACCGUGGUGGAGAGUAUUUUUCCAAUGAAUCUGAUGCUUUUUGUGCGGAACAUGGUAUAAUCCAUGAGAGGAUGCCUCCCCAUUCACCUCAGUCAAAUGGGGUGGCCGAAAGGAAGAAUCGUACUCUAACUGAUUUGGUUAACGCCAUGUUAGACACAUCGGGUCUCUCCAAGGCAUGGUGGGGGGAGGCGAUAUUGACUGCAUGUCAUGUCCUAAACCGAGUUCCCACAAAGAACAAAGAGAUAACUCCAGUCGAGAAAUGGGAGAAGAAAAGGUUAAAGCUCUCUUAUCUACGAACCUGGGGUUGUUUGGCGAAAGUCAAUGUGCCAGUUCCAAAGAAGCGGAAGCUGGGACCAGAAACCGUGGAUUGUGUUUUCAUGGGAUAUGCUUUUCAUAGCAUUGGUUAUAGAUUCUUGGUUGUAAAAUCUGAGGUACCUGACAUGCAUGUCGGUACGAUCAUGGAGUCGAAUGAUGCGACUGUCUUUGAAGAUAUCUUUCCCAUGAAGGAUAUGGCUACCUCAUCUAAUCCGGAGAUGCCUAGUUCAUCGAAUCAGGAACCAGUUACAAUUACUGAACCUGCCAUUUCGAUGGAACACUUUGAAAGUUUUGUGGAGGAGAACAACGAAGUUCCUACUAGGAGCAAGACACAGAGGACUGCAAAGUCCUUUGGUGAUGAUUUUCUUGUGUAUCUCAUAGAUGACACUCCUAGUUCUAUUUCAGAGGCCUAUGCAUCUGAAGAUGCUGACUACUGGAAGGAAGCAGUUCGUAGCGAGAUGGAUUCCAUCUUGGCGAAUGAAACUUGGGAGAUAACUGAUCGUCCUUAUGGGUGCAAACCUAUAGGAUGCGAAUGGGUAUUCAAGAAGAAGCUUAGGCCUGAUGGUACUAUUGAAAAGUACAAGGCUCGGCUCGUGGCUAAGGAUUAUACCCAAAAGGAAGAUGAAGAUUUCUUUGAUACUUACUCACCUGUGGCUCGACUGACCACUAUUCGAGUUCUACUUUCACUAGCUGCCUCACAUGGUCUUCUUGUUCAUCAAAUGGAUGUUAAGACUGCUUUCCUAAAUGGAGAGUUGGACGAGGAAAUUUAUAUGGAACAACCAGAUGGGUUUGUAAUAGAUGGUCAGGAAGGGAAAGUGUGCAAGUUGUUGAAGUCUUUGUGUGGACUCAAGCAAGCACCCAAACAGUGGCAUGAGAAGUUCGAAAGAACUUUAACAGCUGCAGGCUUUGUUGUGAAUGAAGCUGAAAAAUGUGUGUACUAUCACCAUGGUGGGGGCGAGGGAGUUAUGCUUUGCUUGUAUGUUGAUGACAUACUGAUUUUCGGAACAAAUCUGAAUGUUGUUAAGGAGGUCAAGGAUUUUCUAUCUCACUGUUUUGAGAUGAAGGAUUUAGGAGUAGCUGAUGUCAUUCUGAACAUCAAGUUGUUGAGAGACGAUGAUGGUGGGAUUACAUUGCUUCAAUCUCACUAUGUGGGAAAGAUCUUGAGUCGCUUUGGCUACAGUGACUGCAAGCCCUCUCCAACACCAUAUGAUGCUAGUGUGUUGCUUCGAAAGAAUCAAAGAAUUGCUAGAGACCAAUUGAAAUAUUCUCAGAUUAUUGGCUCGCUUAUGUACUUAGCCAGUGCUACAAGACCUGACAUCUCUUUUGCUGUCAGCAAACUGAGCCGGUUUGUUUCAAAACCAGGAGAUGUGCAUUGGAAAGCUCUAGAGAUAGUUUUGCGUUACUUGAAAGGCACUGCGAAUUAUGGAAUUCACUACACUGGGCACCCAAAGGUGCUUGAAGGGUAUAGUGACUCAAACUGGAUCUCAGAUGCUGAUGAGAUAAAGGCCACGAGCGGAUAUGUAUUCACUCAUGGAGGUGGCGCUGUUUCUUGGAAGUCUUGCAAGCAGACCAUCUUAACGAGGUCAACAAUGGAAGCAGCACUCACAGCACUAGAUACAGCUACGGUCGAAGCAGAUUGGCUUCGCCGGCUCUUGAAUGACUUGCCGGUUGUUGAGAAACCUGUACCGGGUAUCCUUAUGAACUGCGACAAUCAAACUGUGAUCACGAAAGUGAACAGCUCAAAGGAUAACAUGAAGUCAUCAAGACAUGUUCAGAUAAGGUUAAAGUCUGUCAGAAAAAUGAGAAACUCUAGAGUUAUUGCAUUGGAUUAUAUCCAAACGUCUAAAAAUCUGGCAGAUCCUUUCACUAAGGGUCUAUCACGUAAUGUGAUAGAUAAUGCAUCGAGGGAGAUGGGUAUGAGACCCACAAUAUGAGUUGUUCACGGUGGUAACUUAUUCUUUGUGAUCGAAGAUCCCGUGAAUUAGAUGUGGAAGACAAGCUGUUGGUCAACUGGGAGGAGAGUACCCUUACUAUUAAAAAUACCAUUCCAUGAAGAUGCAAUACUCUCCUAAUCUGCAUGGCAGGUUGAUGUAUAUCUUAAUGUGUUCUAAGUGGCUCUUUGAAGCAGAGAUGUUGUCCUGCAGAACAUCUUUUGAAGAACACACAUAUAUGAGUCUGAUUGUUAAAGUCGCAAUCUAUGAGAGUAGGGUUCUCUCUAGUAAACUCAUGAAAGGUCUCGGAGUAUGACGCAUAAGCUCCACCGGCGGGGAAGACCCACGGUAGCCACGUAUCGGUCAAGGCUUUAUAUGAAGCUAGAUUCGCAGAAAACUUGCAGUUCAAAGCCCAGUCCACUGUUCAAGUUGCUUACUAGUGUAGCAUAGGGCUCUAGGUGGAAGUUCAACUUAACAGUCUCUACUGCAGUACCGGUAUAUAAAACAAUGUUUUGGAACCAAAGGCAAAUUUUGUGCGCCUCUGGGAUCUGGUGGGGGAUUGCUGGAAUUUAGUCUGUCUUGGGACAGCCCAAUAACUAUUUCAGAAAUUUCCAAAUAAAUCCUAGAGGCCCACUUAGCCCAUUUGUGCAAGGCAAGAGAUACUACUAAAAGUUUAGUCCCAUAUUGCUAGUUUAGUGGGAGUUGGACCUCCUUAUAAGGGAGGUUCUUUCCCCACUUGUAUGAGCAUGAGAACAAGAGGGAUAUCCACGCGCGCUCCUCCUCCGCCACCCGCCUCGCCUCGUCACAACGCGCCGCGCCGCGGGUUGCGGGAAUGAGCCGAGCCGAUAUUCGUUUCAUCUCUCGCGUUCCCUUCAGCUCCUGGUGCAGCCUCUCGCCUCCUUCUCUUGCGCCUAUAAAAGUGAGGUCGCUCCUCUCAGAAAGACACACCAGGUCUACUUCUUCCUCUCGUCACCGGUUCCUGAACACUGCGCUGCUGCUACGAUCUCUCCAUCCCGGCUUGCGGCGUGCACCGCAGGUCGGGACAGUAGGCCUCUGGAACCGCACCUGUACGGGAGAAGGGUGAUAAGGUUUUUGGGGAGCGCUCUGCGCGACUACUGACUUCUUCGUCAUGGAUGCUCCGGACUCCGACGACUACUUCCCCGACGACGACUACUUCCCCGACGUCGACAACCUCCUCGACGACAUGGAGGACACCGACCCCAAGUCCAGUGCCUCUGCUCCUGCUGCUGUCCAGUACGUGUUCUUAUUUUUCCUGUUAGAAGUCCUGCAUCAGUUCCUUGUUCUAGUGUUUGCCUAGACAUGUUAGGCUCUACUUCAUAUAUGCAUCUUGAUUUACUGUCUGCUCUAGAGAUGAUCCGUUCUAGCUCAUAUAUGCAGAUAUUAUUUACCUUCUCUUUGUCAAAUUGCAUGGCUUGUUUUAUCACUGCUAUACUAGUCAUGCUUUAUCUAGUAUUUUUGUUAAUAAAAUAAUUCGGUAAAUUGCUCAUAUUUCCAACAAAGACAUCUAUAGAAAUCUGUGCCAAAAAAUGGGUGCUCCAAAAUGCGUCUUUUUGUGUACCCAUUUUUUUGUACACGCCUCCAUGCAUAUCUUUCGAAGGUGAAAUUUUGCAAGCUGUUAGAAUAUUUGUUGAUGUUCAUCCACAAUAAACUUAAUAUUAAUUUUCAGAUUUUCCUAUUCAUGCGGGGUAUUUGAGCUCGGAAGCGGAUAAUCUACCAAACGAUACGCCUUUCUUAUAGUAUUGAAGUAUCUAACUUCUGUUUUUUAAGGAUUUCGAGAAAACGCCAUCAUGCACGUCGGAUCUCAUGUAUUAAUCCCAAAGCAUUAGCACCAAAUACAUCCUCUUCGUGCACUACGAGAUGAGGACAUUAAUUGGUUCACUUAGGAUGGCAAUCUGAGUGAACACAUUCGGGGAUGACAAUUUCUAUUUUUAGAGCAUGGAAAUUCUCACCUUUUUCGGUUGAUGUUGAAUGGCAAUUUCCUUCACCUAGCAUGGCAAAUCUUGAGCAUGAAAUGUUUCACUUUUAUUUUUUAGGAUUGCAAUUCUCCAUUCUGGAAUCAUGGCAAAAUCCUCGAAAAUGCAUGGCAAUUACUCUGCUGCAGCUUAACAAUUUCCUAAUAAUCUUUUUAUACAACAUGGCAACUUUUACUUUAAGACAUGGCAAAUCCUUAUGUAAGAGCAUGGCAAUUGACAAUUUUCGGACAAUCUUAUUAUAUACUUAGCAAUUUUUACUUUAAAACAUGGCAAAUCCAUAUGUAACAUAACGGAAAAUUAUUUAUUUUCCCAUCCUAUUUAUCGAUUCGGGCUGAGCAAAAAUCAAACGGAUCUAGAAAUAGGCAAUCUUAGAUGCACAAGAUGAAAAGUAAUGUAAGGCAAGCCUUUUUUUAAGGGGAAUACACCGGAUGUUUAAGAUAACUUUUUUAUAAUAUACUCUAGUGAUCUAAAAGGUCAUAUAUUUGUUUGCAGACGGAGUAUAUGACCGACAAAAGAUUGGCCCAUCAAAAUGGAGAACCCCAACCGCGUCUGUUUGUAGUGGAUGAAUAGGAAAAAAUCACCAAAAUAAGAAAUUAUCAGAGCCAUGUUUCGAUCCUGGGACCUGUGGGUUAUGGGACCACCACGCUUCCGCUGCGCCACUCUGAUUUUCUUGUCUGUUUUUGCAACGCCCACUGGUAGAAAAAGAGGCUUCCGUCCAGCCCCAUUAGUCGCGAAACUGUAGGAACCGCGACUAAUGAAGUCUUUAGUCGCGGUUCGGCAGACGAACCGCGACCAAAGGCCUGGGCCCAGGGCGCUCGGUGGCCAGCUGGUGCACGUGAUGGGCUUUAGUCGCGGUUGGCCAGGCCAACCNNNNNNNNNNNNNNNNNNNNNNNNNNNNNNNNNNNNNNNNNNNNNNNNNNNNNNNNNNNNNNNNNNNNNNNNNNNNNNNNNNNNNNNNNNNNNNNNNNNNNNNNNNNNNNNNNNNNNNNNNNNNNNNNNNNNNNNNNNNNNNNNNNNNNNNNNNNNNNNNNNNNNNNNNNNNNNNNNNNNNNNNNNNNNNNNNNNNNNNNNNNNNNNNNNNNNNNNNNNNNNNNNNNNNNNNNNNNNNNNNNNNNNNNNNNNNNNNNNNNNNNNNNNNNNNNNNNNNNNNNNNNNNNNNNNNNNNNNNNNNNNNNNNNNNNNNNNNNNNNNNNNNNNNNNNNNNNNNNNNNNNNNNNNNNNNNNNNNNNNNNNNNNNNNNNNNNNNNNNNNNNNNNNNNNNNNNNNNNNNNNNNNNNNNNNNNNNNNNNNNNNNNNNNNNNNNNNNNNNNNNNNNNNNNNNNNNNNNNNNNNNNNNNNNNNNNNNNNNNNNNNNNNNNNNNNNNNNNNNNNNNNNNNNNNNNNNNNNNNNNNNNNNNNNNNNNNNNNNNNNNNNNNNNNNNNNNNNNNNNNNNNNNNNNNNNNNNNNNNNNNNNNNNNNNNNNNNNNNNNNNNNNNNNNNNNNNNNNNNNNNNNNNNNNNNNNNNNNNNNNNNNNNNNNNNNNNNNNNNNNNNNNNNNNNNNNNNNNNNNNNNNNNNNNNNNNNNNNNNNNNNNNNNNNNNNNNNNNNNNNNNNNNNNNNNNNNNNNNNNNNNNNNNNNNNNNNNNNNNNNNNNNNNNNNNNNNNNNNNNNNNNNNNNNNNNNNNNNNNNNNNNNNNNNNNNNNNNNNNNNNNNNNNNNNNNNNNNNNNNNNNNNNNNNNNNNNNNNNNNNNNNNNNNNNNNNNNNNNNNNNNNNNUCUUGCUCAUUUCGGUGAUACUUUCAUGGAGGAUGCUGAAGGUGAAGGGGAAGGUGAAGGGGAAGGUGAAGGUGAAGAAGAGGCACGUGAUGAGACCGUUGAUGAUCUUGGUCGGACCAUUGCUGAUGCACGGAGACGCUGCGAAACUGAAAAGGAGAGGGAGAAUUUGGAUCGCAUGUUAGAGGAUCACAGAAAGUCGUUGUACCCCGGAUGCGAUGAUGGUCUGAAAAAGCUGGGCUGCACACUGGAUUUGCUGAAAUGGAAGGCACAGGCAGGUGUAGCUGACUCGGCAUUUGAAAACUUGCUGAAAAUGUUGAAGAAUAUGUUUCCAAAGAAUAACGAGUUGCCCGCCAGUACGUACGAAGCAAAGAAGGUUGUCUGCCCUCUAGGUUUAGAGGUUCUGAAGAUACAUGCAUGCAUCAACGACUGCAUCCUCUACCGCGGUGAAUACGAGAAUUUGAAUGAAUGCCCAGUAUGCACUGCAUUGCAUUAUAAGAUCAGAGGCGAUGACCCUGGUGACGAUGUUGAGGGCGAGAAACCCAGGAAGAGGGUUCCCGCCAAGGUGAUGUGGUAUGCUCCUAUAAUACCACGGUUGAAACGUCUGUUCAGGAACAAAGAGCAUGCCAAGUUGUUGCGAUGGCACAAAGAGGACCGUAAGUCGGACGGGGAGUUGAGACACACCGCAGAUGGAACGCAAUGGAGAAAGAUCGACAGAGAGUUCAAAGAUUUUGCAGCUGACGCAAGGAACAUAAGAUUUGGUCUAAGUACAGAUGGCAUGAAUCCUUUUGGCGAGCAGAGCUCCAGCCAUAGCACCUGGCCCGUGACUCUAUGCAUCUACAACCUUCCUCCUUGGUUGUGCAUGAAGCGGAAGUUCAUUAUGAUGCCAGUUCUCAUCCAAGGUCCGAAGCAACCCGGCAACGACAUCGAUGUGUACCUAAGGCCAUUAGUUGAUGAACUUUUACAGCUGUGGGGCAGACCUGGUGUCCGUGUGUGGGAUGAGCACAAAAAAGAGGAAUUUAACCUACGAGCGUUGCUUUUCGUAACCAUCAACGAUUGGCCUGCUCUUAGUAACCUUUCAGGACUGUCAAAUAAGGGAUACAAUGCAUGCACGCACUGCUUACAUGAGACUGAAAGUGUACAUUUGCCAAAUUGUAAGAAGAACGUGUACCUUGGGCAUCGUCGAUUUCUUCCGAAAAUUUAUCCAGUAAGAAAGAAAGGCAAGCAUUACAACGGCAAGGCAGAUCACCGGCCGAAGCCUGCGGAACGCACUGGUGCUGAGGUAUUUGAUAUGGUCAAGGAUUUGAAAGUCAUCUUUGGAAAGGGUCCUGGCGGACAAUCAGUUCCGAAGGGAGCUGACGGGCACGCAGCCAUGUGGAAGAAGAAAUCUAUAUUCUGGGAGCUAGAAUAUUGGAAAGUCCUAGAAGUCCGCUCUGCAAUCGACGUGAUGCACGUUACGAAGAAUAUUUGCGUGAACCUCCUAAGCUUCUUGGGCGUGUAUGGGAAGACAAAUGAUACAAAGGAAGCACGGCAGGACCAGCAACGUUUGAAAGACCCUGAUGACCGGCAUCCGGAAUGGUUUCAAGGUCGUGCCAGCUACGCUCUGACCAAAGAAGAGAAGGUCAUCUUUUUUGAAUGCCUGAGCAGUAUGAAGGUCCCGUCUGGAUUCUCGUCCAAUAUAAAGGGAAUAAUAAACAUGGCGGAGAAAAAGUUCCAAAAUCUGAAGUCUCACGACUGCCACGUGAUUAUGACGCAAUUUCUUCCGAUUGCUUUGAGGGGGCUCCUGCCGGAAAAUGUUCGAGUAGCCAUUGUGAAGCUAUGUGCAUUCCUCAAUGCAAUCUCUCAGAAGGUAAUCAAUCCAGAAGAUCUACCACGGUUACAGAACGAUGUGAUCCAAUGUCUUGUCAGUUUUGAGUUGGUGUUCCCGCCAUCCUUCUUCAAUAUUAUGACGCACCUCUUGGUUCACCCAGUCGAAGAGAUUUUCAUUCUCGGUCCUGUAUUUCUACACAAUAUGUUCCCCUUCGAGAGGUUCAUGGGAGUAUUAAAGAAAUACGUUCGUAACCGUGCUAGGCCAGAAGGAAGCAUCGCCAAGGACUAUGGAAAUGAGGAGGUAAUUGAGUUUUGUGUUGACUUUGUUCCUGACCUUAAGCCGAUUGGUCUUCCUCGAUCGCGGCACGAGGGGAGACUAAGUGGAAAAGGCACGAUCGGAAGGAAAUCAACGAUAUGUAUGGGCGGCCAUUCUCUGACUGAAGCACACCACACUGUACUGACCAAUUCCAGCUUGGUGGCUCCGUACUUUGAGAAACACAAGAAUAUUUUACGCUCGGACAACCCGGGGAAGCCUGAAUCCUGGAUUAGGAAGGCCCACAUGGAGACUUUCGGUAGUUGGUUGAGAAAACAUUUAAUGAAUGACAAUGAUGUUCUAGAUCAGCUGUACAUGUUGGCCAAGACACCAUCUUCGACUAUAACGACUUUCCAAGGGUACGAGAUAAAUGGGAAUACAUUUUACACGAUCGCCCAAGAUAAAAAGAGCACCAACCAAAACAGUGGUGUCCGCUUUGAUGCAGCAACCGAGAAUGGGCAAAAGGUCACAUAUUAUGGUUACAUAGAGGAGAUAUGGGAACUUGACUAUGGACCCUCCUUUAAGGUCCCUUUGUUCCGGUGCAAAUGGUUCAAGCUAACAGGAGGUGGGGUAAAGGUGGACCAGCAAUACGGAAUGACAAUGGUGGAUUUCAACAAUCUUGGUUACCUUGACGAACCAUUCGUCCUAGCGAAAGAUGUCGCUCAGGUUUUCUAUGUGAAGGACAUGAGUAGCAAACCAAGGAAACGGAAAGAUAAGAAAACGAUCAGUACAUCAUGCGAUGAUCCAAAGCGCCACAUUGUUCUUUCAGGGAAAAGAAACAUCGUGGGAGUGGAGGACAAGACAGACAUGUCAGAAGAUUAUAAUAUGUUUGCUGAAAUUCCGCCCUUCAAAGUGAACACCGACCCAAGCAUUAAGUUAAAUGAUGAGGAUGCUCCAUGGAUACGGCACAAUCGUAAGCAAGCAGGGACACAAGGGAAGAAAUGAUGUGUAAUAAUUUAUUGUACCAAACUUUGUUGAAUGGAUCAUGUGAAUUAUAUUACCCGUGAUGUGUUUGGUGUCCAUUUUCGAAUGAUUCGAGAUACCACUGAUGAUACAUGAAAUUUGGAGUGAUUUAGUCAUACUCCUGCCUAGGCGUAUAAUAUGCAUACUCGUAGUCUUCAUAGCCGCCGCCGUUGUACUGGUAGUCGUCGCCUUCUAAGUUGCCGCCGUCGUCGUCGCUGCUGUCGUCGCUGUUGUCGAGCGGCGCUCGUGGGUCGAACUAAGGGUAGCGCAGGCGGGGGAUAUCGCCGGCCGUGAUGUAGUCCAUGACGCACUGCAGAGUCCGGCCGUACCACCAUAGCCGACGGCCGGCCUCUGGUAUAUUAUUUUGAAUUGAAUUAGUUUUAUUUUUCUUAAUUUUUUGAUAUAUUAUUUGUAUUUUUAGAAUUUUGAAUUGAAUUAGUUUUAUUUUUCUGAAUUUUUUGAUAUAAUAUUUGUGUUUUUAACAUAUUGAAUUGAAUUAGUUCUAUUUUUCUGAAUUUUUUGAUAUAUUAUUUGUAUUUUUAACAUAUUGAAUUGAAUUAGUUUUAUUUUUCUUAUUUUUUUGAUAUAUUAUUUGNNNNNNNNNNNNNNNNNNNNNNNNNNNNNNNNNNNNNNNNNNNNNNNNNNNNNNNNNNNNNNNNNNNNNNNNNNNNNNNNNNNNNNNNNNNNNNNNNNNNNNNNNNNNNNNNNNNNNNNNNNNNNNNNNNNNNNNNNNNNNNNNNNNNNNNNNNNNNNNNNNNNNNNNNNNNNNNNNNNNNNNNNNNNNNNNNNNNNNNNNNNNNNNNNNNNNNNNNNNNNNNNNNNNNNNNNNNNNNNNNNNNNNNNNNNNNNNNNNNNNNNNNNNNNNNNNNNNNNNNNNNNNNNNNNNNNNNNNNNNNNNNNNNNNNNNNNNNNNNNNNNNNNNNNNNNNNNNNNNNNNNNNNNNNNNNNNNNNNNNNNNNNNNNNNNNNNNNNNNNNNNNNNNNNNNNNNNNNNNNNNNNNNNNNNNNNNNNNNNNNNNNNNNNNNNNNNNNNNNNNNNNNNNNNNNNNNNNNNNNNNNNNNNNNNNNNNNNNNNNNNNNNNNNNNNNNNNNNNNNNNNNNNNNNNNNNNNNNNNNNNNNNNNNNNNNNNNNNNNNNNNNNNNNNNNNNNNNNNNNNNNNNNNNNNNNNNNNNNNNNNNNNNNNNNNNNNNNNNNNNNNNNNNNNNNNNNNNNNNNNNNNNNNNNNNNNNNNNNNNNNNNNNNNNNNNNNNNNNNNNNNNNNNNNNNNNNNNNNNNNNNNNNNNNNNNNNNNNNNNNNNNNNNNNNNNNNNNNNNNNNNNNNNNNNNNNNNNNNNNNNNNNNNNNNNNNNNNNNNNNNNNNNNNNNNNNNNNNNNNNNNNNNNNNNNNNNNNNNNNNNNNNNNNNNNNNNNNNNNNNNNNNNNNNNNNNNNNNNNNNNNNNNNNNNNNNNNNNNNNNNNNNNNNNNNNNNNNNNNNNNNNNNNNNNNNNNNNNNNNNNNNNNNNNNNNNNNNNNNNNNNNNNNNNNNNNNNNNNNNNNNNNNNNNNNNNNNNNNNNNNNNNNNNNNNNNNNNNNNNNNNNNNNNNNNNNNNNNNNNNNNNNNNNNNNNNNNNNNNNNNNNNNNNNNNNNNNNNNNNNNNNNNNNNNNNNNNNNNNNNNNNNNNNNNNNNNNNNNNNNNNNNNNNNNNNNNNNNNNNNNNNNNNNNNNNNNNNNNNNNNNNNNNNNNNNNNNNNNNNNNNNNNNNNNNNNNNNNNNNNNNNNNNNNNNNNNNNNNNNNNNNNCGGCCAGCCUCGCUGCCGCGCGCGCACGCGCGCGCCUCUCUACAGAGAGCGAGAUCAUGGAGAGAGAGAGAGAAUUUUUUCUUUUUUUUUCUUUUUUUUUGUUCUUUUUAAUUUUAACUAGUUAAUUAGUUUAACAAAAAUGGUAAAAUAACUUAAAACUUGAUAAUUAACAAAAAAACUGUAAAAUUUGAUAAUUAACAAAAAAAACGUAUAUACGGAGAGGGGGCGGCGAGGGGGGCGGCGAUGCGCGCGGUAUUUUUUUUAGGGAUCGAGAGGGGGCGGCGAGGGUUAUACAUGUGUGUUGUCCUCGCCUCCCUCUCCGUGACGCCGUCGUCUGCCGCCCCGUCUCGCGCUCUACCGCGACACCCUCUCCCACCCCUUCCUCGCCCCCUCCUUUUGCCACCGCCCUUUCGCCACCGCCACCGCCACCGCCCCCCUUCUUCACUUAAUUAAUUUGUUUUUACUACAUGUUUUCAGGACUGACAUAAUGGCGGACGAUAGAGCUGACCCGAUGGACAACUAUGAUCCGGACGGUGAAGCACAUAUGUUCGGCAUCAUAAACGGCGAUAUUCUAUAUGUGCCGACCGGACAAGAAGAAGAUGAUAUCUCUUCUUAUCUGAACCUUGACGGUGAAGAUGAAGGGCGCCGUCAGCAAGAUGAUGCCGAACAAACGUCGAUAAACGACGAUCUUCAAAUGGAAGUAGCAACCACCUCCGGCGCCGAGGUAUAUAUAUACAUUGAGCCUCUGGUGAUACAAACUAACUGAUUUGAAUAAAUAUGUGUGUACUAACGCGCGCGACUCUCUUUCUUAUUUUAGCCCUCGGCCGGAUCGUCGAAACAAUCGAGUACGUCGUCAAAGCGUGGCGCAACCAAGACGAUGAAACAAGGAGAAACAUGCACCAUCGAGGUUGUCGACAGUGCAACCGGCAGACCGCUGGAGCCCCGCAAGAACGCCACCAAGUUUGUCAACCAAUGCGGAGCCAUUGUUAGAGACAACGUCUCGAUCACCGUCCAGGAGUGGAAUAAGCCAAAGAAGGCACGAAUUGCUGGUUUCACUUUUGUCGAUAAGAGAACAAAAAAAGAUUGCUUCAAGAAGCUUAUGGAACAUUUCGUUCUACCUCCAGAAUACAACAAAUUCGAUGAGAAGGGUAACAAGAUUGAGGAAAACAAGGAGAGGAGGAGGCUAGUCAAACAGUUCGCUCUUCAUAAGAUGGCCGACGCAUUCCGGAAAUUCAAGCAAAAUCUAGCCCAUGACUUUGUCAAGCAGAACAAGACUCCGGAUUUCAAAGGACAAUAUGAGAAACUGAAACAUGAUUGGCCAGAAUUUGUGAAGCAAAAGAAAUCGGAGCAGUUCAUUCAAAUAUCGAAAAAAAUAAGGAAAAUGCGGCUAAGGAGUACAAUCAUAUUAUGAGGCCAGGAGGGUAUCGCCUUUGGGAGCCUAGGUGGGAGAAGAUGGAGAACGAGCUGAGGGCGCGAGGAAUCCGUCCAGGUACGGAGGGAUGGGACCCAAGGGCCAAAAGCUGGUGGUACGGGCAUGGGGGAACGCUGAACCCGAAGACAGGGGAGUGUGUUUACCGGGGCAAAAUAAUUAAACCCACCCAAGCCCUUAUUGACGCAAUGAGGGAUGCUCAAGAGGGGAAGAUCAAGUUCAACAGAGAGAACGACGCGCUGACAAAAGCCCUCGGGAAUCCUGAACACGGAGGAUGUGUACGAGGCAUGGGGCACAUUCCGUGGAAAAUAGGGUUCCCCCAGAACGAUGACCCGUACGGUUACAGAAGCCGGAAGAGAAAGAUGGAUCGGGAAGCAGAUGUUGUGGCGCGGUUGGCAUCGGAAAUGGAUGUGAUGAAGAAAACCGUGAGUGUACUAGUAGCCGAAAGAGAUGCAGCUCGGGCGCAGCAUGAAGAUCAUCCAGCGGAUCUCAGAAGCCAGCAGCGGAGAAGCAGUGUGGCUUCCACGGAGGCCCCAUCGGCUGGUGCAGAUGCACCUACGAUCGAAAUUACUGCACCGGAGCCUCUGGUGGUCGAAAUUACUGCACCGGAGCCUCUGGUGGUCGAAAUUACUGCACCAGAGCCUCCUCGCUACCCCGUGGACGAUAUAAAGGAGAUGAAAGAAUGUCAUCUGUAUUAUCCUAUCGGGAACAUGUCCAUGAAGGUAGCCAUCGGCAGUGCUUUACCAUGUUUACCUGGAGCACUCCACCACAACAACCCCAUUCAAGAUGGCUAUGCUCGUGUCACGGUGGAGGACAUAGUCCAAGGGUUUGAGGACCUGGAGAUUGACAUUGACCUGAAGGGGAGAAAAGACUUGGAGAUGUCAAGCGCCAUUUCAUUCUAUGGCAAAAGAAGUUUAUCAAGUUUCCAGGCGAGGCGCCAAGGACAACAAGUCCACCCCCCUACGGUGGUGGUGGUGGAGGCGGUUCACCUACACCUCCGUCACGUCAGCCGACGCCCCCCAGUCCACAACGUCCGGCGGGUGAUCAGACGCCGCCCCCCAGUCCUCGUCCGGUGGGUGAUCAGACGCCGCCCCCCAAUCCACCUCCGGCAAAGAAGCAGAAGCAGCCCUGGAUUAUUAACCCGGACCCUUAUGUACCUAAGACCACAAAGGUACCGGAGCCAUCACUGAAGCCUCUCCCCACAAGGCCUUGGGAACGUAGUGCCGAGGAAACUGCCGCGGCCGCGGCUGCUGAUCAUGAGAAAUGGAAGGCGGACUGCAAGAAGAAAAGAGAGCCCGAGCCCAAGCCAGUAUUUUCUGAUUAGCAAAAGAAGUGGGCGAAGUCAUUUUUGAGCACACCGUCCCAAGCCGCGAAGAAUCUGCCUGACGACUAUGCACGUGAACUUCGUAGGCAGGCACUCAUGUUGAAGGAGAAGAAAGAGCGGGCGGAGAACCAGGAGAACAAAGCCUUGGAGGAGGCCGAGAAAACGGAAUUAGAAAGUAAAAAAAGCGGGAAACGAGUUGCCCAGCUCGGGGAACAAAGUAAACAAUCGAUUGCCCCGCUUAUAGUGAAAGCCGCCGGUCCGGAUGACCCCGAUAUCAUAGCAGCUGCGGCAGCACAUGGAUUGACUGUAACGAGUGACAGAGAACAAGCGGCCAACUUAGGUAUUACUCUUCGUGAACUGUUAGGCCUUGAUGAGGCGCCAGUGAAGGAGGUAGUAAUUACAUAUGUGAAGAAUGGGCCUCUUGUCGAGCCUGCGCAGGAAGAGGAUCUACCUCCACAAAUGAAAGGUCUGCUGAAAUGGUACAAGGGUUACAUAAAAAAUAAAAACGCCAAAGAAUAUAUUUAUGCGGAAGUUAGAUAUGAGCAUCACUUCAAACAUUACUAUGUACAAAUUCAUCUGAGUGAAUUGUUCCAGCUUUUCAAUCUGCGCGAGCUCGACAAAUCUAUCAUCAGUUGCUAUGUUCUGUAAGUGAUUUAUUUCUACCCCAUCUCGUUCAUAUUGCCUGCACUAUAUAUAUGUCCUAACUAUAUUGUUGUGUCCGCUAUUAUACAUGCAGAAUGAAGAUUAAGGAAUGCAGAGUAAGGAACAUCCAUGAUGUUGGGUUCAUUGACCCACACAUCGUUAAUGGAUAUGUGUUGGAGCAUCACCCCGCCGACAUGGAGGCAGACCUGUGGCAGUUUCUUACAAAGCAGGAACUCAAAAGUGAUAUUCUAUUUCCUUACCAUUUUGGGUGAGUGUUUCUGUCUUGAGCACAUUCUUUUUUGUUUACUCCAUGCAUGGUAUGUGGCCGGCUAAUCGAUGAGUUAUGCAUGACGUACUGUGCAUGUAUCGUGUCCGCAGGUUCCACUGGAUUCUGCUAGUAAUUAAAGUUGACACGUCAGAAUGUCUCGUCCACGACUCUCUAAAUAAGGAUCCAAAGCUUUGGGCGGCAUGAGAAGAAUGCUGCAGAAGUAAUUAUUUUCAUUCAUUUGCGCUCUAUAUCGAUCGGCCUAUUUCGUUCAUUUCCUAAUAUCAAGUAACUAAAAACUCUCUUGUUCAUUUAAUUUUCUUUGCCUCGUAGGGUUUGGAGACGGUUCGUAGAUACAAAGGUCGGUGAAUUCAAAAAAGAGCUAGAAUUCAAAAGGUCAAAGGCUAAGAAUGGUGAGGAUAUUCAGCCAGCGGGGACCAAUUUAUGUGCAUACUAUGUCUGUGAGAUGAUCCGGAGAUACACCUCUGAGCGGCGGGUUCCGAGUGAUACCAAUGCUCAGAGGAAUAACCUCCGGAUGAUGCUUAGUCCAGAAGCUCGCUUCCGACCACUUCAAGAGGAACUAGCUGGAUGGUUCAGGAGGGAAGUCCUCCAUCCUAAAGGAGAACACCAUUACGAGGACGUAGAACUUUAUAUGCAUUAAAUUAUGUAUGGAAACUUGUUCAAAAUUGUAUAUGGUCAUCCGAUGAUAUUGAAUAUAUAUUGUAUAUUCUUCUUGAAUUCUUUUUGGUUCUAAUUUCAAAUUUGUUUGAAAUUGUACAUUCAUAUGCAUGUAUGUAGUACCGUAGAAUAUGUGAAACUCCUUCAAAAUUAAAAUAAAGCACAAAAGAAAUAAAACAAUACAAAUUAAAUAGAAAACAGGUUUAGGGGGGGGCUAAAACCCUAAACCUGCGGCGGCCUUUAGUCACGGUUGGCCAGAAGAACCGCGACUAAAGGUCCUCCGCCCCGACGGCCGCCUGGCGCCCACGUGGACGGGCCUUUAGUCGCGGUUCUUAAGCAACCGCGACUAAAAGGGGGGGGGGCCUUUAGUCGCGCCUGUUUGGUCGCGGUUGCGCAACCGCGACUAAUGGCAGUUGCGAACCGCGACCAAAGGCCUUUUUUCCACCAGUGGCCAACUGCUCAGCUAGCAAGCAAGUCUGAACCUGGACGCAUAUACAUGGACGGUCACUCUUAUGAUGAUGUUGCUGUCCUGCUACCUAAUCCCGCCCGUCCACGGACACCACCAACACCAAAACGGUACUGACAAAACGAGGCGCAAAAUUGUUUAGAAAUGUACGAUGGCUCAUGGCUCUCCCUAUAAAUACACCAUGGUGUAACACGCCACUUACCUACCUAGCUAGCUAUCAUCUUCCGUCGGUGCUCGAUCACGAGCUAGCUCCCAAGAUGAGCAAGUCGUCGUGGCCGGAGCUAGUGGGCGUCCUGGCGACGCUGGCGGCGACGCAGAUCGCGCACGACCGGCCCGACGUCGCCGUCGAGGUGCUCCCGCCCGGUGCGCCGCUGAUGCCCGACUACAACGCCCAGCGCGUCCGCGUCUUCAUCAAUCUCGGCGGCGUCGUCUCCAAGACCCCCGUCAUCGGCUAGCCUCCCGCCCCGCGAAUGGCACGCCGUCCCUGUCCCGGCACGGCACCAGCGCUAGCUGCUGUGACUACAGUACUACGGUAUAACGGAAGAAUAAAGUGACGUCAUGUGUUUGUGCUACGUGAUUUCUGUGAAAACUCGCUAAACUAUUCGUGGGUUGUUACGGAGUAACAAAUUGUUCAUGUGUACCAGAACGUGAGUUACGAGGGCUCCUUCCGAAAACCUAGCCGCCGCCAACAUCUCCGUCUCCAUCAUAGACGCCAGGGUUGGAGGGAUGGGGAACCCGAUCUAUGUAUGAAGUUCUUAAUAAAGUAGUGUUUGGGUUAGGGUUUUGGUGGCCGUCUUCUUCGUCUUUGAAGAUGGCAUCGGCUACGGCCCUUCGAUCGACGACUAGAUCUCCUUCUAGGCGUCAAUGCUGGUGUUGGAAGAUUAAAUUUGUCUAGGUAUGAUCCUUCAGAUCUUACUUCGAUAUAUUGAUUUUGGAUAAUUUCUCAUCGUCGCCGCGACGGCUACUAUGUCGUCGACAAUGGUGAUUCAUACUUUUGGCUCCUAGUGACGUCGACCUAGCUGUUUGAUUGUUUUUUUCUAGAAUACCGGUGUUGAUACGCUUGCCGAUGUUGGUCGAUUGCUGUAAUGGUUGCAUGCGUGCAUCGUAGCCUUUGGCAUCGCGGCUCAAAUUAAAAUUAUGGAAGAAUCCUCGUUGGUAUGUACAGGUCUAUGGUUUGAUAUCUUUGUUAUUUUCCUAUGGCUACCUUCAGGAAAGCACAGGAUUGUGUCAUGGAAGAAGAAAGAGUUUAAAAAUCUCGAAGAAUGGCUCGUUUCUUUUAGACUUUAUAUUGUAAUCACGGGAGUCAGCUCUUGUAUCUCUAUGAUGUACUAUUUAUUCGCUACUAUAAAUAUUUCAUGGUACUUAUUGGGAAAAAAGCAAAUUAUUCAUGUGUUACCAUAAAAUAAUAGAUUAGUUUGUUAUGUGACCAAACAUGUGCCUCAUGUGAAAACAAACAACCUACUAGGGUUCCACCUACAACCACCGCUGCCAUCACUGAUAAUUCUUGACUUCGGGUGCCUUCCGGCGCCACCAAAAUGGGGGGGAGGGGGGGGAGACUCUGGUUUGGGUUGCCUCUAUAUUCUUUGGUUGCCCAGUUAGGGUUUAUAUUGAAGUGUUUGGUUGCAGUGUUGAGAAGAUGUUGUUUGUCGUGGGCGGAGGGCAGGUGAAGAUGUUGAGCGACAAACGACACCCAAUACCUCACCCUAACAAACAACAAUAAGGUUCGCUCAUUGCUUCAGUUUCUUCUUCUUUUUUGUUUUUUUCCUUUGUGUGUAUUUUAGUUUUUUUACCGGAUUUCUUUGGUUUUUCUUUUUUCCUCAUUUUACUUGCUAUUCUUUAUUAUCUCUUGUUUUAAUAUUUUUUGGUAUACUUUGCUUUUAUUUGUUCUUUCUUGGCUUCCUUCAUCAUCUUUUUUGUUUUGAUUUUCUUUUUAUUUCUUUGCCAGUGUGUACCGGUUUUCUUUCCUUUGAACACAUAUCUACUUUCUCCGCAGUACAGAAUGUACUUUUUUAUAGCACACACGAUUUUUUUAUACAUCUGGACCUUUUCAAAUACAUGAUGUAUAUUUUUUAAAAAUUAUGUUUUGAAAAUAAUAAUUUAAUAAAUGGUAACAUUUCUUUCCAAAUACAUGGUAUGCAUUUUUUAAUGGCAAUAGCCAUUUUCUAAGCUACAUGGACAUUUUUUUAAUUGCAUAAAUGUUUGUAAAAAAUUCACAGAUAUUUUUUGGAAACACGUGAAUAUUUUCUCAAAAUGUCACAAUACUUUUGAAAGUUAUAUCAUCAUUUUUUUAAACUGUGUAAAAAAAAUUAUACUAUGUUAAGAUUUUUUUUCAAGCUCGUGAUUUUAAAUUCGAUAAAUAAAUUUAGGUUUUCAGAAUAUAUGCAUUUAAUUUUGAAUUUAUUUAGGGGAUGCAUGAAAUGUAAAUAAAGUAAAAAUGAGGAGAAGAAAAUAAUUUCGGGUGACGUCAGGAAGAGGAGGCACGUCGUACUGGGCCAUGCACGCAACUGCUCAUCAUCAAGCCCAAUCAUAUUGAACUGAGACCGACAGUAAAAAAUUACAUAAUAAAACCUAACAGAGCCAGUUUCGAUCCUGGGACCUGUGGGUUAUGGGCCCACCACGCUUCCGCAGCGCCACUCUGAUUUGCUUGUUGACAUUGCGAUGCUACGCUACAUAUAACAGAUGAUCAGUCAGCAAGAAUAAUCUAUCAUGUUUCUUAUAAUCUGAUAAUCCACCCCAUGUGUACCCCCUGCUUUGACUCCCAUUAACAAGCUAACCUGAAGGAAUUUUUAGAAAUUACAGUGGAAUUUAGAAAAAAGAAACCCAGGUUUGUCCUUGAAAGGCAAUGGAGAAUGUGGCAAGUCGGAAAUAUAUAACAAUGAAAAACUUUUGAAUACAAUGCCUUUGCUAGAAUAUAUCUCGGGCUAACAUGCAUCAUUAGAAUUUCUAUAAAUACUAGUACAAUGCCCGUGCGUUGCCACGGACCUUUUAAAUUUUGUGUUGUGACAUUUAUAAAGAUAAUACAUGUCAAAUUUCGCAUGUAUAAAAUAACAAAUUAUCUAAUUUUAAGUCGUCUAUUUUUAAAUUCGCUUCAGGCUAUUUUUUGUGACCAUCGGAUCUGCACAAAUCGUAGUGUUAUUUGGUUUAGAGAAAAAUCUAAAGCAAAACCUUUAACUCGUAGAGCCAGUUUGAAUUAAAUCCUGAACUUUCAAUCCUAAAAUUAGCACUCCGUACUUAUCGAUCCCGGUCAAUCCCGACCUUCUCCCGAUCUAGACCAAUCUAGUGGGAUCAUAACUUCUCUCAGUGACUAAGCUAGUCCACUUGUCACACACAUUUUCUCCCCACUUGAAGAGCACAAACAUGUAUGGCAUGCAUAUCCACAAUGUCAAGCAUGCUAAUCUCUUCCUCCACCAUGCAAAUGGAGAGGCAACCACUUCUAAGUAACACAAUUAUUAUCUGCGACAAGUUAACAGUGUUGCCCGUGUAUUCUUGGGUUUGCAUGGUCAUGCGUUAGAGAGUGAGGAAGAACAUGUAGAUGACACGUGAGCAUCUCGUUCGGGAUUGACCUUUUUCCCGGCGUGACAAACAGGGCUAAAGACAGAUUCACCAGGAUUGACAAGUACAGGGUGCUAAUUUCAAAGAUUGAGAAUUCAGGGUUUGAUUCAGAUUGGCUCUAUGAAGUCAAGGAUGUUUUCAGAGUUUUCUCUUUCACUCGCUCCAUCUGUCCCCCUCUGUGGCGCGUGUCAGGUCUUGAUUGUUUUUCUUUUCGGGCUAAGAGCAUCUCUAGCGUAAACCAGUCCAUCUAACAAAAUAAUGUCGGUUAACGGGAUGGAGGCAGGUUUUGCCCUGAAGAGAUCGCGUAUAUUCAACCAUCCCGGAUUCUUUUUUGCGGGAUCCUGCAUAUUUUAGGACCGUUUCCGCUAUAUCUAUGGGAAUGGGGGCAAUUUUUACUGGACCUGAAAAAUAAGAAACAGUUGGCAGGAGGGAAUUUUCAGCUCGCGCCACAGUCUUCCCCGAGCGCGACCUCGCCUCAAAGCCUCAACAUCAGCGACCACCGCACCCUAGUUGCAGCUCUGCGAGCUAGCUGCCGCCGCCGCCUCUAGCUAGCUAGGUGUGUUGGGGAACGUAGCAGAAAUUCAAAAUUUUCCUACGCGUAUCACCAAGAUCUAUCUAUGGAGAGACCAGCAACGAGUAGAAAGGGAGAGGAGAGUGCAUCUACAUACCCUUGUAGAUCGCUAAGCGGAAGCGUUCAAGUGAACGGGGUUGAUGGAGUCGUACUCGUCGUGAUUCAAAUCACCGAUGAUCAAGUGUCGAACGGACGGCACCUCCGCGUUCAACACACGUACAGCCCGGUGACGUCUCCCACGCCUUGAUCCAGCAAGGAGAGAGGGAGAGGUUGAGGAAGACUCCAUCCAGCAGCAGCACAACGGCGUGGUGGUGAUGGAGGAGCGUGGCAAUCCUGCAGGGCUUCACCGAGCACCUACGGGAGAGGAGAUGUGUCACGGGAGGGAGAGGGAGGCAACCAAAGGCCUUAGGUAUGAUUGCUCCUCCUUUUCCCCACUAUAUAUAGGGCCAAGGGAGAGGGGGGAGGCGCAGCCUUGCCCCCUCCUCCAAGGAAGGGGUGCGGCUAAGGAUGGGGAGGAGUCCAUCCUCCCCAAGGCACCUCGGAGGUGCCUUCCCCUUUUAGGACUCUUCCCUUUUUCCUUUAUCUUGGCGCAUGGGCCUCUAGGGGCUGGUGCCCUUGGCCCAUGUAGGCCAAGGCGCACCCCCUACAGCCCAUGUGGCCCCCCGGGGCAGGUGGCCCCACCCGGUGGGCCCCCGGGACCCUUCCGGUGGUUCCGGUACAAUACCGAUAACCCCGAAACUUGUCCCGAUGGCCGAAACAGGACUUCCUAUAUAUAAAUCUUUACCUCCGGACCAUUCCGGAACUCCUCGUGACGUCCGGGAUCUCAUCCGGGACUCCGAACAACAUUCGGUAACCACAUACAAGCUUCCUUUAUAACCCUAGCGUCAUCGAACCUUAAGUGUGUAGACCCUACGGGUUCGGGAGACAUGCAGACAUGACCGAGAUGUUCUCCGGUCAAUAACCAACAGCGGGAUCUGGAUACCCAUGAUGGCUCCCACAUGUUCCACGAUGAUCUCAUCGGAUGAAACACGAUGUCAAGGACUUAAUCAAUCCCGUAUUCAAUUCCCUUUGUCUAGCGGUAUUUUACUUGCCCGAGAUUUGAUCGUCGGUAUCCAAUACCUUGUUCAAUCUCGUUUCCGGCAAGUCACUUUACUCGUUCCGUAACACAUCAUCCCGUGAUCAACUCCUUGGUCACAUUGCGCAUAUGAUGAUGUCCUACCGAGUGGGCCCAGAGAUACCUCUCCGUUUACACGGAGUGACAAAUCCCAGUCUCGAUCCGCAUAAAACAAUAGAUACUUUCGGAGAUACCUGUAGUGCACCUUUAUAGUCACCCAGUUACGUUGUGACGUUUGAUACACCCAAAGCACUCCUACGGUAUCCAGGAGUUACACGAUCUCAUGGUCAAAGGAAGAGAUACUUGACAUUGGCAAAGCUCUAGCAAACGAACUACACGAUCUUUGUGCUAUGCUUAGGAUUGGGUCUUGUCCAUCACAUCAUUCUCCUAAUGAUGUGAUCCCGUUAUCAACGACAUCCAAUGUCCAUAGCCAGGAAACCGUGACCAUCUAUUGAUCAACGAGCUAGUCAACUAGAGGCUUACUAGGGACAUAUUGUGGUCUAUGUAUUCACACGUGUAUUACGAUUUCCGGAUAAUACAGUUAUAGCAUGAAUAAAAGACAAUUAUCAUGAACAAGGAAAUAUAAUAAUAAUACUUUUAUUAUUGCCUCUAGGGCAUAUUUCCAACAGUCUCCCACUUGCACUAGAGUCAAUAAUCUAGUUCACAUCGCCAUGUGAUUAACACUCAUAGGUCACAUCGCCAUGUGACUAAUACCCAAGAGUUUACUAGAGUCAGUAGUCUAGUUCACAUCACUAUGUGAUUAACACUCAAUGAGUUUUAUGUUUGAUCAUGUUGCUUGUGAGAGAGGUUUUAGUCAACAGGUCUGAACCUUUCAGAUCCGUGUGUGCUUUACAAAUCUCUAUGUCAUCUCCUAGAUGCAGCUACCACGCUCUAUUUGGAGCUAUUCCAAACAACUGUUCUACUUGGAGCUAUUCUAAAUUAUUGCUCCAUUAUAUGUAUCCGGUCUCUCUACUCAGAGCUAUCCGGAUAGGUGUCAAGCUUGCAUCGACGUAACCUUUACGACGAACUCUUUUACCACCUCCAUAAUCGAGAAAAUUCCUUAGUCCACUAGUUACUAAGGAUAACUUUGACCGCUGUCCUGUGAGCCAUUCUUGGAUCACUCUUGUACCCCUUGACUGACUCAUGGCAAGGCACACUUCAGGUGCGGUACACAGCAUAGCAUACUGAAGAGCCUACGUCUUAAGCAUAGGGGACGACCUUCGUCCUUUCUCUCUAUUCUGCCGUGGUCGAGCUUUAAGUCUUAACUUCGUACCUUACAACUCAGGCAAGAACUCCUUCUUUGACUGGUCCAUCUUGAACACCUUCAAGAUCAUGUUAAGGUAUGUGCUCAUUUGAAAGUAUUAUUAAGCAUUUGGAUCUAUCCUUAUAGAUCUUGAUGCUCAAUGUUCAAGUAGCUUAAUCCAGGCUUUCCAUUGAAAAACACUUUCAAAAUAACCCUAUAUGCUUUCCAGAAAUUCUACGUCAUUUCUGAUCAUCAAUAUGUCAACAACAUAUAUUCAUCAGAAAUUCUAUAGUGCUCCCACUCACUUCUUUGGAAAUACAAGUUUCUCAUAAACUUUGUACAAACCCAAAAUCUUUGAUCAUCUCAUCAAAGCGUUCAUUCCAACUCCGAGAUACUUACUCCAGUCCUUAAAAGGAUCGCUGGAGCUAGCAUACCUUUUAGCAUCCUUAGGAUCGACAAAAACUUUUCUGAUUGUAUUGCAUACAACCUUUCCUUAUGAAAACUAGUAAGGAAACUUGUCUUGACAUCCAUCUGCCAGAUUUCAUAAAUGCAGCUAAUGCUAACAUGAAUUCGACGGACUUUAAGCAUCGCUACGAAUGAGAAAAUCUCAUCGUAGUCAACUCCUUGAACUUGUGGAAAAACUUUUCGCCACAAGUCGAGCUUCAUGGACGGUGACAUUACCAUCCACGUCCGUCUUCUUCUUAAAGAUCCAUUUAUCUUAAUGGCUUGCCGAUCAUCGGGCAAGUCCACCAAAGUCCAUGGAUCCGUUCUCGGAUUUUAUGGCCUCGAGCCAUUUAUCGGAAUCCGGGCUCACCAUUGCUUCUCCAUAGCUCGUAGGUUCAUUGUUGUCUAGCAACAUGACUUCCAAGACAGGAUCACCGUACCACUCCAAAGUAGUACAUGUCCUUGUCGUCCUACGAGGUUUGGUAGUGACUUGAUCCGAAGUUUCAUGAUCAAUAUCAUAAGCUUCCACUUCAAUUGGUGUAGGUGCCACAGGAACAACUUCCUGUGCCCUGCCACACACUAGUUGAAGAGACGGUUCAAUAACCUCAUCAAGUCUCCACCAUCCUCCCACUCAACUCUUUCGAGAGAAAUUUUUCCUCGAGAAAGGACCCGAUUCAAGAAACAAUCCAUAUUGCUUUCGGAUCUGAAUUAGGAGGUAUACCCAACUGUUUUGGUUUUCCUAUGAAGAUGCAUUUUAUCCGCUUUGGGUUCGAGCUUAUCAACCUGAAACUUUUUCAUAUAAGCGUCGCAGCCCCAAACUUUUAAGAAACGACAACUUAGGUUUCUCUAAACCAUAAUUCAUACGGUGUCAUCUCAACGGAAUUACGUGGUGCCCUAUUUAAAGUGAAUGUGGUUGUCUCUAAUGCCUAACCCAUGAACGAUAGUGGUAAUUCGAUAAGAGACAUCAUGGUACGCACCAUAUCCAAUAGGGUGCAACUAUGAUGUUCGGACACACCAUCACACUAUGGUGUUCCAGGCGGUAUUAAUUAUGAAACAAUUUCCACAAUGUCUUAAUUGUGUGCCAAAACUCGUAACUCAGAUAUUCAUCUCUAUGAUCAUAUCAUAGACAUUUUAUCCUCUUGUCACAAUGAUCUUCUACUUCACUCUGAAAUUACUUGAACCAUUCAAUAAUUCAGACUUGUGUUUCAUCAAGUAAAUAUUCUCAACAUCUACUCGAAUCAUCUAUGAAGUAAGAACAUAACGAUAUUCACUGCAUGCCUCAGCACUCAUUGGACUGCACACAUCAAAAUGUGUUACUUCCAACAAGUUGCUAUCUUGUUCCAUCUUACUGAAAAUGAGGCUUUUCAGUCAUCUUGCCCAUGUGGUAUGAUUUGCAUAUCUCAAGUGAUUCAAAAUCAAGUGAGUCCGAACGAUCCAUUUGCAUGGAGUUUCUUCAUGCAUAUACACCAAUAGACAUGGUUCGCAUGUCUCAAACUUUUCAAAAACGAGUGAGUCCAAAGAUCCAUCAACAUGGAGCUUCUUCAUACGUUUUAUACCAUUAUGACUUACAUGGCAGUGCCACAAGUAAGUGGUACUAUCAUUACUAUCUUAUAUCUUUUGGCAUGAAAAUGUGUAUCACUACGACCGAGAUUCAAUAAACCAUUCCUUUAGGUGCAAGACCAUUGAAGGUAUUAUUCAAAUAAAUAGAGUAACCAUUAUUCUCUUUAAAUGAAUAACCGUACUGCGAUAGACAUAAUCCAAUCAUGUCUAUGCUCAACACCAAAUCUCGAUGGUAGAGGGAGCGUGCGAUGCUUGAUCAUAUCAACAUUGGAAACACUUCCAACACAUGUCGUCAGCUCACCUUUAGCUAGUCUCCGUUUAUUCCGUAGCUUUUAUUUCGAGUUACUAACACUUAGCAACCGAACCGGUAUCUAAUACCCUGGUGCUACUAGGAGUACUAGUAAAGUACACAUUAACACAAUGUAUAUCCAAUAUACUUCUAUCGACCUUGCCAGCCUUCUCAUCUACCAAGUAUCUAGGGUAAUCUUGCUCCAGUGGUUGUUCCCCUUAUUACAGAAGCACUUAGUCUCGGGUUUGGGUUUAACCUCGGGUUUCUUCAUUCGAGCAGCAGCUGAAUUGCCGUUUCAUGAAGUAUCCCUUUGUUCCCUUGCCCUUCUUGAAACUAGUGGUUUCACCAACCAUCAACAAUUGAUGCUCCUUCUUGAUUUCUACUUUCGCGGUGUCAAACAUCAUGAAUAUUUCAAGGAUCAUCAUAUAUGUCCUUGAUAUAUUAUAGUUCAUCACGAAGCUCUAGCAGCUUGGUGGUAAUGACUUCGGGGGAACUAUCACUAUUUCAUCUGGAAGAUCAACUCCCACUUGAUUCAAGUGAUUGUUGCACUCAGACAAUCUGAGCACAAGCUCAACAAUUGAGCUUCUCUCCUUAGUUUGCAGGCUAAGAAAAUCGUCGGAGGUCUUAUACCUCUUGACGUGGGCACGAGCCUGAAAUCCCAAUUUCAGCCCUCGAAACAUCUCAUAUGUUCCGUGACGUUUCGAAAACGUCUUUGGUGCCUCUACUUAAACCAUUUAACUGAACUAUCACGUAGUUAUCAAAACGUGUAUGUUCGAUGUUCACAACAUCCACAGACGAGGUUUGGGGUUCAGCACACUGAGCGGUGCAUUAAGGACAUAAGCUUUCUACUGAUCGCAUAAUCGCUACUAUCAACUUUCAACUAUAUUUUCUCUAGGAACAUAACUAAAACAGUAGAACUAUAGCGUGAACUACGACAUAAUUUGCAAAAAGGUCUUUUGACUAUGUUCAGGAUAAUUAAGUUCAUCUUAUGAACUCCCACUCAGAUAGACAUCCCUCUGGUCAUCUAAGUGAUUACAUGAUCCGAGUCAAACUAGACCGUGUCCGAUCAUCACGUGAGACGGACUAGUCAACGUCGGUGAACAUCUUCAUGUUGAUCGUAUCUACUAUACGACUCAUGCUCGACCUUUCGGUCUCCGUGUUCCGAGGCCAUGUCUGUACAUGCUAGGCUCGUCAAGUUAACCCUAAGUGUUUUUGCUGUGUAAAACUGUCUUACACCCGUUGUAUGUGAACGUAAGGAUCUAUCACACCCGAUCAUCACGUGGUGCUUCGAAACGACGAACUGUAGCAACGGUGCACAGUUAGGGGAGAACACUUCUUGAAAUUUUAAUGAGGGAUCAUCUUAUUUACUACCGUCGUUCUAAGCAAAUAAGAUGCAUAAACAUAAUAAACAUCACAUGCAAUUAUAUAGUUGUGACAUGAUAUGGCCAAUAUCAUAUAGCUCCAUUGAUCUCCAUCUUCGGGGCUCCAUGAUCAUCUUGUCACCGGCAUGACACCAUGAUCUCCAUCAUCAUGAUCUCCAUCAUCAUGUCUUCAUGAAGUUGUCACGCCAACGACUACUUCUACUUCUAUGACUAACGCGUUUAGCAAUAAAGUAAAGUAGUUUACAUGGCGUUCUUCAAUGACACGCAGGUCAUACAAAAAAUAAAGACAACUCCUAUGGCUCCUGCCGGUUGUCAUACUCAUCGACAUGCAAGUCGUGAAUCCUAUUACAAGAACAUGAUCAAUCUCAUACAUCACAUAUAUCAUUCAUCACAUCCUUUGGCCAUAUCACAUCACAUAGCAUACCCUGCAAAAACAAGUUAGACGUCCUCUAAUUGUUGUUUGCAUGUUUUACGUGGCUGCUAUGGGUUUCUAGCAAGAACGUUUCUUACCUACGCAAAGACCACAACGUGAUAUGCCAAUUGCUAUUUACCCUUCAUAAGGACCCUUUUCAUCGAAUCCGAUCCGACUAAAGUAGGAGAGACAGACACCCGCUAGCCACCUUAUGCAUCUAGUGCAUGUCAGUCGGUGGAACCAGUCUCACGUAAGAGUACGUGUAAGGUCGGUCCGGGCCGCUUCAUCCCACAAUACCGUCGAAACAAGAUUGGACUAGUAACGGUAAGCAUAUUGAACAACAUCAACGCCCACAACUACUUUGUGUUCCACUCGUGCAAAGAAUCUACGCAAUAGACCUAGCUCAUGAUGCCACUGUUGGGGAACGUAGCAGAAAUUCAAAAUUUUCCUACGUGUCACCAAGAUCUAUCUAUGGAGAGACCAGCAACGAGUAGAAGGAGAGGAGAGUGCAUCUACAUACCCUUGUAGAUCGCUAAGCGGAAGCGUUCAAGUGAACGGGGUUGAUGGAGUCGUACUCGUCGUGAUUCAAAUCACCGAUGAUCAAGUGUCGAACGGACGGCACCUCCGCGUUCAACACACGUACAGCCCGGUGACGUCUCCCAUGCCUUGAUCCAGCAAGGAGAAAGGGAGAGGUUGAGGAAGACUCCAUCCAGCAGCAGCACAACGGCGUGGUGGUGAUGGAGGAGCGUGGCAAUCCUGCAGGGCUUCACCGAGCACCUACGGGAGAGGAGAUGUGUCACGGGAGGGAGAGGGAGGCAACCAAAGGCCUUAGGUAUGAUUGAUCCUCCUUUUCCCCACUAUAUAUAGGGCCAAGGGAGAGGGGGGAGGCGCAGCCUUGCCCCCUCCUCCAAGGAAGGGGUGCGGCUAAGGAUGGGGAGGAGUCCAUCCUCCCCAAGGCACCUCGGAGGUGCCUUCCCCUUUUAGGACUCUUCCCUUUUUCCUUUAUCUUGGCGCAUGGGCCUCUAGGGGCUGGUGCCCUUGGCCCAUGUAGGCCAAGGCGCACCCCCUACAGCCCAUGUGCCCCCCCGGGGCAGGUGGCCCCACCCGGUGGGCCCCCGGGACCCUUCCGGUGGUCCCGGUACAAUACCGAUAACCCCGAAACUUGUCCCGAUGGCCGAAAUAGGACUUCCUAUAUAUAAUCUUUACCUCCGGACCAUUCCGGAACUCCUCGUGACGUCCGGGAUCUCAUCCGGGACUCCGAACAACAUUCGGUAACCACAUACAAGCUUCCUUUAUAACCCUAGCGUCAUUGAACCUUAAGUGUGUAGACCCUACGGGUUCGGGAGACAUGCAGACAUGACCGAGAUGUUCUCCGGUCAAUAACCAACGGCGGGAUCUGGAUACCCAUGAUGGCUCCCACAUGUUCCACGAUGAUCUCAUCGGAUGAAACACGAUGUCAAGGACUUAAUCAAUCCCGUAUUCAAUUCCCUUUGUCUAGCGGUAUUUUACUUGCCCGAGAUUCGAUCGUCGGUAUCCAAUACCUUGUUCAAUCUUGUUUCCGGCAAGUCACUUUACUCGUUCCGUAACACAUCAUCCCGUGAUCAACUCCUUGGUCACAUUGCGCAUAUGAUGAUGUCCUACCGAGUGGGCCCAGAGAUACCUCUCCGUUUACACGGAGUGACAAAUCCCAGUCUCGAUCCGCAUAAAACAAUAGAUACUUUCGGAGAUACCUGUAGUGCACCUUUAUAGUCACCCAGUUACGUUGUGACGUUUGAUACACCCAAAGCACUCCUACGGUAUCCAGGAGUUACACGAUCUCAUGGUCAAAGGAAGAGAUACUUGACAUUGGCAAAGCUCUAGCAAACGAACUACACGAUCUUUGUGCUAUGCUUAGGAUUGGGUCUUGUCCAUCACAUCAUUCUCCUAAUGAUGUGAUCCCGUUAUCAACGACAUCCAAUGUCCAUAGCCAGGAAACCAUGACUAUCUGUUGAUCACAACGAGCUAGUCAACUAGAGGCUCACUAGGGACAUAUUGUGGUCUAUGUAUUCACACGUGUAUUACGAUUUCCGGAUAAUACAGUUAUAGCAUGAAUAAAAGACAAUUAUCAUGAACAAGGAAAUAUAAUAAUAAUACUUUUAUUAUUGCCUCUAGGGCAUAUUUCCAACAAGGUGCUGCCGCCGCCGCUAGCUAGCUAGGUGUUGCUGCCGCCGCCGCUAGCUAGCUAGGUGCUGCUGCUGCAGCCUGCGCUAGCUAGCUGUUGUUGCCGCCGCCACAAGAUCGAUGCAAAUGAUUUUUUCUUGUUGUGAGCUCCAGCAAUGGCUGUCUAUCCAUCCUGACGAGAUCCUCACGGUGGAAGCGGCCAAGGUGUACCCAAUUAUAAUUUAGCAUGCGUUUUAAGGGCGGUUGUGUAAUUUUGCCGGGACCCGGACCAUGAAAUAUUUUUACGAGAUCUGUUCUGCCUGAACAAAAGUACCGUAAAAAUGCGCAAGAAAGCGUUUUGCAAUGUCCUGUAAAUCGAUUUUUGCAGGACGCGGUAUACCGAAUCUGCUAGAGAUGCUCUAUGGAGUGGAGCAGGAGGUCGGUUUGUAUUGCUCCGCAGCCGGAUCCAGUUUUUUAGGAACGAUCCAUUUUCACCCACACAAUUUUUCGAACUGUUUUUUGAAAAAGAUAACAACUGAAUUUCUGAUUUUAACGACCUCGUCCCGAAAGCAUCUGUUACCGUUGGACCGUAAGCACCAAUCACAAGGAUUGCCACGUCAUCAGCAGGAGUAAUUCGUUCCAGAGACCGACCGAAUCCAACAACACGACCCAUCCCUUUCGAAAUCGGAUCCUCUAACAUCCUCAAGGGAUGUCACGUAAGGUACAGUAACCGUGACAUCCCUCCUUCACAUUCAUAUGAUUAAGCCUAAAAUGAUUAUAAUUAAUUUGUAAAUUACAAAUCUACUCUAUACAUUUACAAAAAUUACAUACAAACAAAAUUAUGGUGCAAUAAAAUGAUUUUUGAUUUAUUUUUGUAUAUGCUACAGUAAAUCCGCAUAGUGGUUGCUACAGUAAUCCUAACAUCCCUUCUUCGUUUUACACAUGCAUUUUACUGUAGCUUCGUGACAUCCCUUGAGGAUGUUAGAGGAUCCACUUCCAUCACUUCCUCUAUCCGUCACCCAUCGAAGCGGUCACACAUUUCCCACUCUCCCUCACUUUCUCUCUCCCGGCGAUCCCCAAUUUAGCUCGAUUCCGACUAAUACUCCGGCGAGCUGCAGCGGCCAGAUAAUGGAUCGCGACCAGAUCCGGGGAGCGAUGGGAGGGGGACCCGGUGGCGACGCUGUGGUGAGGGCGGGUGUUGAAGAACGCGUCAGGACCAUGGCGCUGAAUGCUGAUGAGCUCCCGGUCUUCCGGCGGAACCUCUCCCCUCUCUCGGUGUUGAAGACGGCGGCGAGAAGACCAGAAGCUCGUCAGUGCACAAUAGCAUCCAUCUCGCUGGUGGCCAUGACCUCCAUGUCCCUGUCGGACAGGUGGAGCAGGCAGCGGUUCACCUACUGCUUCAUUUGCUCGCGCUGGCCCUCUUUACCCACUGUUGCUAUCCAAAUAACAAUCGUGAGGGAAUAAGGAGUGCAGCAGAGGUUCGCACCGGCACGCCAUGCAGGAGGUGUAGCGGAGGUUCUGGGUGACCUGUUGGAGGGAGGAGUAGGGAGCGGACAAUGCGCCGGGAGAGGUAGCAGUGAACAACGCACUGGAAGGAGGUGCAUCAGCAGACGAUGUGUGGGAUGAGCAGUAGUAACGCCUCUUUCCUGCAUGAGUUUUCACAGGUAACCUGAUGCUUUCUUGAUCUCUAAAUUCAGUAACGGAUGUCGAUUUAGUAAACCAUUGGAAGGAUACUGAUGGCUUAGUUGCUAUACGAAAAAUUAGGAUGCUACAUGACCAUAUACAAGUUUAUUUGGUACCAUCUUUUUUACAAUUUAUUAACUAAUUUGCCAUGCUGAAAAACUGUAUCAUGUACAAACUGGCCAUGCUAGUUUUUAGAUAACUGAAGACAGACAACAUUUGGAUUAAAAUUUGCCAUGCUAUUUUACAGAACACGCAAACAUUUGCCGACUUGAUAUAUAACUGAAUAUUAGUGCAGUAAGUUCAGUUCUCAUUUGGAACCGUCACAACAUUUUUGUUAUCAGCAGUGUACCCGGCGCCACCCCAUCCCCGUCUGCCACGGCGAGCGCCUCAAAGUGAUCUUUGCCAUUGUCAUGAUGAACCAAAGUCUAUAUAAUCAGUCAAAAUUCUGUAAAAAGAAAUCAACAUUCAGAGGCAGAAAUAUCAUGGAGCAUUUUGAAGCAGCGGAAAUAUCAUGACAACCUGGUUAACAUGAUUCUUGACUUGUUGAAAAUUCUACCUUUUUCAAGCCUGACCUCCUAUAUGAAGUAUCUUAUAUAACAUAGCAAGGUAGCCUAUAUGAAAUACCAACUGAGACAAAAAAGAGAGAAUACGGGCUUGUUUGGAUAGCGCCUGCAACCGCCCUGCCAACGCUAGGCGUGCCAACUUUUUAGCAGAAGGUUUCGCCUCCGCUGAAUCGACCCGUGGUUUGUGGAAAAACUGAAUGUGUUAAACAAAAAAUUGGCUACAUCAGAAUUUUGGGCAGCCAUCCAAAUGCUUGCAUGUGUCCUCAGUCAACGCCAAUUUUUUUUUGCAGGGUUAUCAUUGGCUUCCAUCCAAACGGACCCUACUACUCAAGCUGACCGACCAAAAACUAACUGAAAUAUGAGAUUUCAAAAUCCACCCCAUUCACUAAAAAUGGAAAAGCAAAACAUGGACUAAAUCGAUGAAUCCUGUAACAGCUAGGUUAGAACUACUUGAUUUAGCACAAUGAAUCUAGAUAAAACAGUAAAAUCACCGGCUUGCUAGUUCUCUCUUCCGCUUUCCUAUAGAUCUCAUUGAUUGUCCAAGUAGUAUAGAAAUCCUAACUCUACUUAGGCAGAUGAUGUUAUGUUAGUAUAAAUGCAUGUAGCUCACGUUGUAAUCAUCGUGAGUUGAAAAAGUACAAACAACAAAUAUGUUACACAUGCCAGUGUGUGUGCGUGCUUUGCUAGCCACCUGUUGGCUAGCCAUGCUGUACCAGACUCAAUCCAUCUCAAGUCGAGCCAGCUUUGCCAUGUUUGCGUUUUGCCAUCGGCCAGGCCGAAUACUUGUUUCACGGGCACAAAUACGUCAAAAGGAGGUUUGAGAUUAAUAUUACGCACCAUUGACAGUGUCCUUGACGGAGGCAAAGGGCAUCAAGUCCGAGCUGUUACCUUCCACACGUCCUCGCCGCAGCCGCCUGCGAUGAAAACGACCAGUCAAAUUCUCAUAGUUUAUGCCUGCCACAGACCCAAAUCGUGAAAGCUGGUGUGGUCGUGUGGAGGACGACAAUGGCUACGGGAUGAGGUGGGCGAGGUGGAGGCCGCGGAGCAAGCCAGCCUUUGAGUAGAUCGUCUUGUUCCUGAAGGUGUCCUUCGUCUAAAUUGAAUUAGAUCAACCUGGGCAGGACCGAGAUAUCUUUAGGAAAGGCAUAUAUAUAAGAGAUUAGUGGGAAGGAGAGGAUUGCAUCCCAGAUAUUCAGAAGAAACGCAUGUUAAUGAGAAGGACGGGCAUGUGUUCUGAUUUUUUACAGGAGAGAUGUGCAUUAAAGGAAAGAUGGAUGCGAUCUGAUUUUUUUGGAUAGAAAACAAAAGGAAAACUGGAAACAUGGAGAAGAUCGUGUGAAGGCUGGCGACUUCUUUCGAUCGAUGGAGAGGGGAGGGAAUGAGAACGAAACGACGUACCUACUGAGACAUUAGGAGUAGAGAUAAUUAGUUUUUUUUCUAUGGUGUAUGAUGCGUCUUUAAAAUCUUUUAUUUGUUUCCUUAAAAUCUAUUAUUUGUUUCCUAAAGAUAUUUGCAAUAAUGGGAGGUAUCGGUUGAUUUGGGUAAGUUGGUAAAGUUAGAUCCGUGAUUGCGUGUAUGUUUGGAAAGCGCUGAUUUGCAAGGAAAGAGCUGAGGGGUAAAUAAAACGGUGAAUAAGAAACCAGCGUCGAUGGGGAGGUGGGAGGAGGGACGAAAAAAACCCAGACAAAGGUGGGAGGAGAGACGGAAAAAAACCCAGCGAAAAUAAACCGUGGAGACUAUUCACCAACUGCUCCAUUAGGAGUAGAGAUAUUGCUUAUAGUCGUCGCUAGGUGGUCCAUUGAUUUGGUUGUAAUUUUUAUUACCGUGAUUGAUGAAUAGAUUGAAAAUUUCUCUCACAAAAAAAAUCUAUAAAUAUAUGUUUUUCUUACUUACUCUUGUUUUCCCUUACUUUUCAAGUCUUGUCUUGAUUGGGCUGAUAGGUGUGCAAAGACAACUAUGGAAACAUCAUGUUACAGCUGCUUUCAGUCUGGCAAACCAAGAUGGUUUUGACAAUAUAAGGUACUCCCUCCGUAAACUAAUAUAAGAGCGUUUAGAUCACUAAAAUAGUGAUGUAAACACUUUUAUAUUAGUUUACAAUGGGAGUACUAGGUUUGACGGGCUGAACUUAGAUUUUUAAAUAUAUAGCCUAAUAAUACUCUGGUUUAUUCAACGCACAACUAAUCAAGUUGCAUUUUCUCAACAAGUUGCAAGAAAUGCAUCUUUUUUCGAUCCACAGUCUCAGAGAAUAUCGAACCGUUAUCUGAUUAACACCAUCCAUAACAACUUCUCAAAACACACACACACACACACACACACACACACACACACACACACAACCUUAACACUCCUAAAUAUCAACUUCUGAGCAGAGGCGGCAACUGUUACCGUCACCCACACUAGUAUCAAAAUUUCAAAAUGUGGUUUACCUCACAACUAGCGUUGCCGAGACAAAAAGGACCAGCAUUUCUACUGCUCCGUAAAUUCAAGAAACGGACCGAUUGCAUGUAUAAGAACAGACAUGCCAAACAACAUAUCAGAGGUCGACUUAUUCAUUGUCUUGAAAGAUUUCGUAUGGAUGACACAAACACAACAGAGGCUGGUCAGGCAAACAAGACCACGGAUUCUUCCACGGGAGCUCCUUGUAAAACAACACAUCAGAGGUCAACUUAUUCAUUGUCAACUAGAGAAAAAUGUCUCAAAAGAUUUCGUAUAGAUGACACAAACAGAACAGGGGCUGGUGAGGCAAACGAGAGCACGAAUUUUUGCACGGGAGCGCCUUGCCACGGCUGUUCUUCAGUAAAUCUCAACAAAAAGAUGGACUAGACGACUGCAGAUCCAGCUACCACUCUCUGGCCCCAGGCCCGCCAAGAAAGACGGACCCUGCUGCAAACAAAAACUUGUCCUACGCUGAAGCACCGGCCUCCUCCUCCUCUUUCCUUUUGCGAGCCCACUUGGGGCUGACCUCGAUAAGCCGGUGCGGCAUGAGCUGCUUCUCCUUCCGGGUGAGCUUCUUGUAGUUCAUGACCCUGAGUUUCGCAAUCUUGGCUUCCUCCUCGGCCGUGGCCUCUCUGACCACCACCGUCAGCCUGCACCUAGGUCUCUCCCUGACACCACACCUACCUUUGGCGUGGUAAGACAGCCUCUUGAGAUAAAGUCCUUUUCCCACGAAAGCCUCUUC